rnacentral:lncRNA from 1 species
AUUUAAACACCAUCUUGAAUCAGCAUAGUUUUCAGAGAAAACGAUUACGGAAAACCUUGAUCUUUCAAUGACUUUGAAGAGUUCUGACCCAAUCUCUUCUCCUCUCUUAAGUUUAUCAUCUCUGAAGGUGCGAUUGCCUCUCUUGAGCAAAGCUUGGUAGAGGUGAUCAGUGAAAUUAUAGCGGGUGUCUUCGCCUCCAAAACUCAAGAAAACAUCAUAGUUCUUUUGAGGGAUGGAAUUAGUAGUAGUCGUAGCAGAGGAAGAAGAAGAAGAUGAAGAUGAAGAUGAUGAUGAAAAGGGUAUUAGAAAACUUAGGAACGCAAUUAUGGAAGCGAUUAGGGAACUUAUGGAAGCUAUUAGGGAAUUUAUGAAAGCCAUGGUUGGUUUUUGUUUCAAAAUCACAAGAGGGUGUGAGGCUUGAUUUCUCUUGAGACUUGAGGAUAUGUAGCAAGCAAACUUUGCUUAAUACAUAAACUGUUUCUUAGUAAAAAGCUGGGGAGGUAAUUAAGUGGCUUCCACUGACCUUCCUAAGCAACUUCAAUAUUUGUAGCUUGGUAGAUAGGAAAGAAGGACAGCAUUCCCAGUGCCGAAAGAAAGAGAUUCUCUCAUUCUUACAUUUGCUUUUCUUUUAUCACCUUUUGCUUUUGUUUUGUUGUCUCACAGGUAGGCCAUUCAAUUCAAUGAUCAGCAUUUGGUUCUUGCACUUUUCAGUGUAUUCUUCAAGCCAUGAAUGGAAUUGAAAGGUAACUGUCAAUUUUUUAAUGUACGGCUUCACGUUCUCUUUUUUACUUUUGCUUUUGUCAUCAUUACUGCAAUGCCAUUUUUCUUCAAUUUUCCCUGUUGCCUUUUUCUCUUUUAUUAUCAUUCAGUUCUCUUUGAACGAGCUCAGCGGGGCCAGCGGGCAAAGAAAAGACUUCUGUAUACCUUGCGUCUGUUUUUCUUGCCACUUUUUCACUUUUCUUCUGUUUUCAUUUGGGUGUUGCAUGCACUCAACUUCCCUUUUAAAAAAUAAAAAUAUUUUACUCUUACUAAAUAAUAAAAAUAAUUUGUUGAUUUUUAUUUAUUUCUUAAUAUUUAAUAAAAAUAAAAUAUUAAAAAAAUACGUAACUUAAUACUUGACACUAUUAAAUAUUAUUUAGUUUUAACUUAUAUUUAAAAUUAAAUAAAGAAAACAAAUAUCAUCUAAGACCUUUUUUUUAAACAUUUCAAUAAUUUAUCUAACCAAAAGUGAAGAAAACUUGUGUUCCUAGAUUAUCUGUAAUUUAUCUAACCAACAGCCCCAGCCAAAAAUAAAAAUAAAUGCAACCAUAUCAUAUUGUUGCAAUUGAAGUUGACCGCCACAAAGCUGGAGCAAACAUAGUAUAUGGUUGCGGCUAGUGUUAUUUCCCCUAUUAUAGUUGAAAGACAAGGCAGCAGCCAAAAGGAGGGUGCAACUGAAGCUUCCGGAUAUAGUUGUGGCAGUUUAAUUCCCUCCACCAAAAGGUAUAUAAAGCAAUAUAGCACCUGUUUUCCGCUGCUGUAAGCAUCUUAUGGUCAAACAUUAAAUGGUGGCUGUAGAGUUCCACAAGUUACUUUGUGGUUUUUUUAUAUAAAAUGUCUGUGCAGAUAUGCAGACUUAGUUUCAGUGUACCGCCAUCUCACUUCACAGGUUACAAACCGGCUAUUAUAAUAAGUUUUUCAGAAUUUAAGCACAAUGAACAAUACAACAUAUCAACAACUAAAGUUGAUUGACUCUGCUAUUUUGGGUCAUUGACUGUCCUUGAGAGUUCAAGUUGUCAUGUUUGUACUCGCUUUGCAUUACUAUUGCAACAAUUACAUACUACAGUUGAAACCAACAUCAACGAGACUUGACGUUUACAAAUUAAAUUUUGCCAGCUAGAAGGUGAGGUCUCACUUUCCUCACCAAGCCCUGAACUUCAACAGCAUCUGGAAACAUGCAUUCAAUGCGGAUGCCAUAGUGUUUCUUAACAGUAUCCAAGAAUUGAUAUGUUUCCAGGUUGAACCUUCCGGUGUUCAAGUUGAACACCUUUAAUGGACAAUUCAGCAGCAUCUUCAGCACCACUGCCAAAAAAACAGGAAAGCAAAUAUUUUUUUCAGUACACAGCUUUGAUUCUGAUUCCACUAGUAAAGAUGAUGCAGAAUAUCACACAUGGAUUGAUCAAUGACAGAUACAGGAGUAGCAGAUAGAGAUAAAAGAAACACAAUAUAAAGUACUUAAUUCCAUUCUGGUGGAAAUCCCAGUUUUUCAAUUGAAAAUGGAGUACCAGUACUGGAUUAAUCAGGUGUUCUGUUUUGAAACAAUUGUCAGAUAACCAUAUAUAGAGCUUCAAAUGUUGCAUAUUGCAUACAACUUCAUGAUUCUGCACAUCCCAAUAAAAGUUCCUACGAGAUCCAGUAUAAAAGUAUAAACCUAACUCCCCAAAUCAGUAAUGCUGGCAUUAAAAUGCUAGCACUAAACUAAUGGCUACAGUCAACUUGUUGCACACUUUUUCAAGAAUGAGUCAAAACACAGUAACGUUAAUGGAUAUGAUGAUCUGUUGACAAGAGAACACCAUUCCAAAAAGAUAUCUCAUGUGUUUUCUAAAACCAGAUAAGGUUUAGAAACAGUUACAAUAGCAUGCAAGCAUGUCUGCAAAAUCGUAACUCCACAGAUCUAUUAGAAUAUGUAACACAAAUUUCAUCUACCUCAUACCUGCUUUUACAAAAUCUGUAUGUUUAUACUGAGCUUUUCCUUUAACAUCCUCCUCUGUUACAGAAUGUACAUGAACACAAAACUCAAAUCAAUGUCCUCUAUAGUCAAUUGGUACUCCUUAUCUUCUGCUCCAACUAUUAUCACUGGACUGUUCCAUCCUCUUCUUAACCAACUGAAAGACAUAAAUAGAAAAGCUAUGUUAUUUUUUAAUUUCAACAACAGUAAAAUCACUGCUUUGAAAAACCUCACAGUGAUGUAGAACAGCUGGAAACAGGUUCCAAAUUUUAAUAGGAUUUAAUGAUUUUAACUGUAGGGAUUGGAACAUCUGGACCACUCCCUUUUCAGCCCACAUCUUCCACUCCCUCCCUCCCUAUUUCUCCUCAUAAUUCAUUGAGGGUUCAAUUUCCUUUAACUCUAUUUUUGUCUUCUCGCCUAAGCAUACAUUCCUGAGAUGCCAAAGAUAACUCCCUCCUUGUCAACUGCAGAGAGGAGUUGCAUGGCCUCUUCACCUCGCAACACCUUCUCCUGGAGUCCCACCACACUCCAGACAUUCAUGGACAUUGGCACUUAACUGCCAAAAUCAUGAAAAUCUAUGAUUGCCCCUAACAUUAUAUGAAAACUAGUUGCAUAUUAUGUCAGAAAAAUUCAAACCCCCAGCCCAUAUGCUAUGGCCCUCAACUUUGCCAAAGAAAUAGGCAUUAUUUUCCAAUGGUGUUAAUCCCCAUAACUGGAAUGCAAAUUGGAUUCUACUUGUUUGUUCCAAAGGUAUAAACGAACACAUCCCAGGCAAGCUGACCUCGUAGCUAACCAACUUUUUGUAGGUAUUCAGAAAAUGCUACUUGAACAAUGAUGCAGGUGUGAUCGAUUUACAUUUACAUAUUUGAAUCAUCAAAAAAAGAAGCUGAGCAGCACAUAGGAAGUUCAUUUAACAAUAUAUUCAUUAUUUGUAACCAGCGGCUUAAAUUAUGAACAUUCAGUGAAAAUUACCUGUAAACCCAUUCAUUAUCAUACCAAGAGACCAACUUGAUAAAGUUGUCAUUCAGAGCAAUUCCAGCCUUGGCAUAAAAAAUACUCGACCUGCCAAAGGGCAAGUGAUUAUACAAUUCACUUGCAAAAUAAGAAAAGUAUUGAAGAUGAGGAAGAAUAAAGAUAUUGCAAGAUUUGCCUCACCUGCGGUCCCCGAUAAAAUCACUUGAUACCACAUCAUCCUUAGUGUAACCAAGGAUUUCCUUCAAAUUUCCCUCAUAUUCCGCCCUGGAAGAGAAUCAGAUGGUUAAAUUAAUAAGAAUAUCUCGAGUUAUUCUUUUUCAUCCUCUUUUCUUGCAAAUCAGAAGGUGCAACCAGCCAAGAAAAAGAAAUAAAUAAAUCCAAAUCAGAAUAUGAUAGAAAUUCAAAAAAAAAAAAAAAUUCCUUCUAGAUCCAUUUGUAUAUAUGAAAAAACUCUCACAAACACAAACAUAUAUAUUAGUCAUAUUAUUGUGGAACUAACUAUAAGUAAUGCUAAUAAACAUUGAAGAGUAGUUAUGGAGCAACAAAAUUCACUCUAGCAGCAACUCUCAAGAAGAAACCAUCCUCAAAAUCGGUGGCAUAUAUUGAAAGGUUGAGGCCUUAACUCAAGAGUAGAUAUGAAUGGAGAGAGAGAUUUGGAUGAACUACAACAACAGAAUGGAAAACAUAAGAACAAGAUGUAAGUUUGAAUUCAAGAAUGGUCUAAAAGUUAUCUCUUGUUCCGAUUUAUAGAAACUUACAGUACACUGUCCAAGAAUAAUUCUUGAAACAUUGCUUAGUUUAAGUUGUUUCACUUUUUUGCCAGAGUACCAUAUCAACAUAUAUUCAUCCUGAAACAUGACCUAGGAACACAAAUAUAUGGGAACAGAGGAUGAAAGAAUCAAGAGGAAACAUACCUGUUACUUGCUCCUCCUGUAAGAGCAAAUUGCAACUGAUAGAUGCAGCUUCUUCAAGAUAAACUGCACACAAUAAAUACCCAGAAGCACAUCUUCUCAAAAAUGAAAAAUUUUCAACACCUAUAAAUGAAUGGAUUUGAAUUAGACCUAAAAGGUAAAUAAAUCCUUUGGUUCCAAAAUAGAAGCCAUAGGAUAGAACAUAAUUCCUACAAAAUUGGGGCAAAAAAUAGAAAAACCAUAUAAACCUACCAGUGUCACUAGGUCCCAAGGGUUUUACGGGCCUAAAAUGAUUCAGGCCUAUCUAUUCUCCACCAUCUAGAAUCUGUAAAUCAGGGGUUACCUAAGCACAGGAAUGAGUUAAAGAUCCUUGAGAAAUGAAUUUUCAUAUUUAGAAGUCUUUUCGUCUAAAACACAAUGAUAUCCAAGUAGGUGGAUGAUCUUCAUACCUUUCCUGUCUAAAACACCAGUAAAGCCUUUUGGGGCACCCUCAGGUGGAAUUUUCAUACCUACAUUUAGGGCUUCAAAUUACACCAACAACAUCUUUGAGAAAUCAUCAAACUUAAGAGAUUAUCUCAAUCCAUAAGAAAGGAAGAAAAAUCAGCUAGAAAACCUCCAAAUCGAAAUUUCUACAGUAAUGAGUGGACAAAAAAAAUGGAGAAGCCGUACCUGAAAACCCUCCAAAUCCUCUGGUAACUUGAAACCCUAGCAAUUCAAAGCCCUAGAGAAAACCAUAAGGUAGAAAAUAAUAGAGUGAAAUCGAAAAAAAUAAAAAUAAAACAAAGUGACAAUGUUGAAAGAAAAAAAUACCAAGCUGCAUCCCACAAUGCCUGAAGAAUCAUCCAGCUAUUACAAGAGAAAAAAAAAAAACCAAUGAGUUCGGUACCGACAAUGAUGAAAGAGGAAAUGGGUUUGGCAAUCAAAGGUGAACGGGAGAGAAGUGGGUUUGGCAACGAGGGUAAGCAGGAGAGAAAUGUUGCAAUUUAUAUAUGGGUUUUAUGGUAGUGGUCUGGUGGCGUCCUGGGCCAUAUAUGGUAGCGGCCAAUUUUAUCCCACAGCUAUAGGAUGUUUAUAGCAGCAUCCAAUUAAUCCUGCAAACUAUAUGUCUGUUGGGAACCACUCUGCAACUGCGACUUGUGUAGCUGUGAGAUUAUAUAUAUACUUUUUAGUUGCGGAUGUUGUCGACCCUUCCUAAAAUUACGCGACUAUAUCUCACUUUUUUAGUAGUGUGAUUAAUGUCUCCCCACAUUUCCAGAGAUUACCUUAAUCUCCCACAUGGUUUUCAAUACAGAAAAGAAGAAAAUCAGAGGUUUGAGAGAGAAUUGCAUGUCAAGGAAGUAUUCAAUUGUAUUGAAAAAAUUCUUUUAGCUUAUGCAGGACCAAGAUUAGCUGCCAUGAAUAUACCCCUAACAAUGUGACCAAGAUACGAGCACCACUGCAACCUAUUGGAUGUCCCAAAGAUAUAGAUCCACCAUGAACAUUGACCUUUUCCUGAAUCCACAAAAGAGCACAUGCUUAUAGAGGCAGAAAUAUGAAAAUGCUCAGGAAAAUAAAAUUGUACAAAACUGAAGUAAACAAAUUCAAUGUAUAGUAAGUCACUAUAGGUUAAAAAAAAAAAAAAAAAGUUGAGACGGUGAACCAAAACACUCACAGGAUCAAGACCGCAACUUUUAAUUAGCAAGAGCUACAACCUGCAGAAAGCAAAUGAGAUCAUAAAAUUAGCAUAAACUGUUACUUGAUAAAAGAGAUGGUAGAAGUAUAACAAGCACAAGAAUAAAUCCUUACGGCGAAAGCCUUGUUUAUUUCAUAGUAAUCAAUUUGAGAAGCCUUCAGGCCCGCAUUAGAAAUAGCUUUUGGAAUUGCAAGGGCUGGGGUAGUUGUAAACAACUCAGGUGCCUGCCCAAGCCAAUCAUGUUUUAGUAUCAAGUCAUCUGUGGUCGUAUCAAGAUCGAGACAGAUAUAAGUUAACUUUUUAACAGUACCUGAGCAGCAUCACCAUAUCCUGCAAUCUUAGCAAUCACUUGGAGUCUAAGCUCAACUGCCUUCUUACCACUCACUAGCACUAAUGCAGCCGCACCAUCACUGUCCACAAGCGAAUAGCACCAACUUACAGUGAAAUGAUUGGCAACACCUCAUGGGUUGACAUGCUUGGUUACAUAGAAAUAUACAACAGAAAUCUAUCAAAGCAAUAUAUGGGUUUAACUAAAAUCUGAUGAACUAAAAGAAUCACUAUCUCUUUAGUGGGUUAACAAAAAAGUAUAUGCCCCUAACUUAGGUGUUUAGAUAUGAAUUUAGUUAUUUAUUUUCAAAGUGAAGCCCUAUAUAAAGAAUCUGGCAAGAGUUUCUCAUUUUGGCCAGAUGGUUGGGAAAUUCAAUUGUUCAUCUCACAUGCUACAACAAGAUCAGGUGUUUGAGACUCUUAAGGACAAGGCAAGCAUGUGAGAGCACACACACACACACAUACCUUAUGCUAGAAGCAUUCCCUGCAGUAACUGAACCCCCAUCCUUGAAACUUGGUCAAAGUUUCCUUAGUUUAGCAGCAUCAAACUGUCAAGAUGGAAAUGGAUAUCUUAGAAAGCAAGGAAAAUAGAUGGUACUGAGAACCCAGAACAUGAAUUUGUUUCAUGACAGGUAAGGUAAUUACUGGGUUAAAGAUGAUCUGACUAAUACCAUUUGGUGAUUAGAUCCUAUAUAUUUGUUUUCAUACAUCAAAUUACCCAUUACAUUACAGCAAUGCCCAGGCCCCUUUUAAUUGAUGAAGAUUGAAAUGGCUUGAUAGAAAAAUUGAAGAAUGAUUCGACAUAUUAGGCAAAGUAAAUAAAAUGAAGAGAACGGCACAGGAUUGCUUAUAUCAAUAACCAGUUGCAAAUGGAAGAGUGGCGUCAACAACUUUUCCCAAAUUACAUGUAUGAAUAAGAAAUUUAUAUUUCAGAUGAUGGACGUGAAUCCCUAUGCCCAUAAAUAAUAUUUACCUUUCCUAGACCUUCAUCCUUAUCAACAAGUGCAGAUGGCAAAGUCACAUGGACCCGAUUAGUAUUUUCAAAGCCAUUUACAGUAACUUUAAGAAAAAAUGAUGUGUGAUAGUCAACACAUAAAUCACCCUUGCAAGCAGUACUGUUAUUUUAAUUUGUGUUCACUUGUUGUUCUUGUGAUGCAUGGUUUCACCAAGAGUUCGUUAGACAUGUCCACUCGAAUGAAAUUAGACCGAAGAUUGAAAAAGUAGAAGAAGAUACAAACUAAUCACAGUACAAUUUUCAACCCUACUUGGUAAAUUUCAUUUAAGUUCCAAACAACUAGUGGGUAAAAAACAUUGAGGAAAAUUUCACAACAGCAAACUGUUACCUGUUGUUCUCUUGUUAUCUUAUGCUGAUCAGCACAUAUUUCUGCACAAAUUGCCAUUCCAAAAUCGUUGUAAACAUCCCAGAGGCCAUCUUUGGCCAUACCAUCAACAAUAGUAUCAUGGCCUAAUCGAGAUCCAUUUCUGUUUAUAAGCUCAGAGUCAGCUUAGAUACAUAGACACUUCUCCCUAUUAGUAAGAACGGCAACAAUAUGUACUGGCCCAACAUGCUUCGUUCACAUACUGAGAAUCAUGUUAAACUAAGCAAGCAACUCAAUAGACAUAAUUGAUCACAUGACCCAAAAAGCUAACGUUGCAUCUACUAGGUAUUUAGGCGCAUUAGACAUUCUUUCCAUGCCACCAGCCACAACUACAUCAUUUUUACAUACUCUCAACCCUCUUAAACUAUCACCAAAAAAUUGUAAAAUAAUCCUGAUCUUUAGUUUAGUCAUUUGCUGAAAGUUCAAUUUUUGAAGGGAGUAUUAUGGCUGUUUAUUCAAUUGUGAGCACCCAAAUUGAACUCCCCUAUGAAGAUGGGAUUGACUACACACAGUUCUCAAUUUUCUUCUCUGAUAGAGAGGCAUUGGAACCAGGUUACAUGAUAGGGCAGCUCCGGCAAAUUCCCAAAGAGAGAUGGGCUAAAAUGUGGAGGCAUCUAAAGUACAUCUCCCAUCACUAUGAAUUCCAGUACCCCUAAAGAAAGGAGACAAUAUUGAUAUGCUAUGGAGACAGGUAAAGCACAAGCUUCCCAGGGCCAACCUUGAUGAACAUAGAAGCCAAAGGUUGAAAGCUCCAGACUGGUGGGACCGCAGGAGAUAGUUUCUGCAUCCUGCUUUCAUUACCUUGUAAAUUAAAAAAUCAUUCCUAGUAGCUACAGUCUUAAAGGGGGAAAAUUUUCCACACAACAAAUGGAUAUAUCAAUUCCAAUGUGCUUUGCUGGCUCUUCAUGUCUUGGAAAAAUUUAGAAAGAACCAUCACAACUUUCCCUUCAAAUUUAUGUCGACUAUUCUAGCAUUUUCUCUGAAUAAUUGAGGUGGUUGGUUGCCUUGAAAUUGGUUUUCCCUCUAGCCUUAAUGGGGAGGAAGAAUUUUCUGGACGUUAUAUUUUCCUAGCAGUGUUGGUGGUUGAAAUGAAUUCUUGGAAAUGUAUAUGUUUUUGGUGGUCAUCCUUGCUAGCUGUCUAUGUUUAUAAUGGAAUUUCAAUGAUGAGUCAGCAAUCUUCUUGUUGGCUUUGAGUGAGAGAGUCUUCUUGUAUUCUGUUAAACCAGAGAUUGCCCAAUAAUGCAUUAAUAUGUUAAUUCUUUUUUACACAAUUUAAUUUUUAUGUCUCAGAAUAGUAGUGAUUUGAACUCUCCUAUAUAUCACUCAGUGAACAGAUCGAAAUACAUCUGGAAUCUGGAUGGGUGCCUUGUCCUUCAAGGCAAACCUGGGUUUUCUGAGUUGUCUCAUAAUUCCUAAUUAUCUCUCACAGUCCCUGAGAGUUAAUGCAUUACAAGGAAAAGAGGAAAAGGGAAAAGGCUUAUUAUGGUUGCCAAUUAGAGCCAUCCCACCGGUUGAUGGGAGUGAAUGCUGAUAUCCAUCACCUACCUGAAAAGUGAAAACCUUGGGACUAAUGGUUGUCAUAAUCUGCUCACUGAGUUUCUUUGUGAUGCUCUUGGAAUCAAAGUUUCUGUAUUAUCCUACCUCUAUGACCCAUUUCCAUUGUGAAAAAUUUUUAAGUUGAGUUUCAUUUGGAGAGGGAGACAAAAGCUCCUACUGCCCCCAAAAAAUAAAUAAAAAAUAAAAAAUAAAAAUGAAAGAGAGAGAGAACAGAAAAACAGAAACUAGUGAUGAGCAGGUGCUGGGAUCUGAGGUUCCCUAUGAUUGGGCCUCAAGCAAGGAAGCAGAGUAGUGCAAUGCAAUUGAGCGGUGUUGGCCCCCAAAACAAAACAAAUCAAACCAAGCAGGAGGCAUCCAGACACAAUGAACCCACCACAACCACACAUGUCCACAACUUUCUAUUACAUCUUCUACUUUACCACUAUCACUACUAAAUAUUUGGUGGUAGCAAAUAAAAAGAAAAGGGAAAUCAGAUAUCUGUAUAUCUGAGCUUUAGACUAAUUAGGCUUCUUUGGUGGUAGAAAUGAUUCUAAAUGUAUCACUUUCAAUCAGAUCCACAAAGUUUCCCUGAGGCCAAAAUCCAUAUCCAUGAAAUCUACUAAUCACAAUGCUAGCAUGAUUAUUUUAAUUGCAGAAUUUAGAUUAUGCAAACCAUAAUCAGAUUCGCAAGCCUAAAAAACACACACCGCAUCAACACUGAAAGUGUAUCUCUCUAUUUCCCCAAGGCUACUGUGAACACAUCAUCCAUGAAACAAAAAUCAACUAAACAAAACCGACUGGAAAAAUCAGGGGAACACAUUAUCCACGUUCCAAAUCCAGUCAUCCAAACAUACACCAUGAUUCGAGAAAGUGGAGAGCAGAAACAUUAUAGUAGAUAAACAAAACGAAAAGAUUUUAUUUCUUACCAUGUUGCAAAUUGAAUCCUUGGGCAUGAUACUUCGUAAAUAAGAUUUCAUUGAAUCGUAGGCAUGAAAUCAAAACAUACCUUAAGAAUUGAAAUUAGCAAAUCGAAUCCUACAAAACCCUUCAAAUCAGCAGAUCCUCAUACCUUAGGGCUUAGUAUUGGGCUGAAACAAAGACAAUGGGCACUUGAGAAAAUCAAAAUAAGGAAAUAUGAAAAAUAAGCAAAGCAAAGCAAGGAAAGAAAGGGUCCAAGGAGAAAGGCCUGACAUUAAGAGUUUGGCUAUGGAGAGGCAUAGAGAGGGGUUUAUGGCUGAGCUUUUAAAAUGGGAUAUAUUGCAGCAGCGAGGUUCAUGCGGAUUAGAUGCAUGAGAAAGCAGCCAGUACAUGACUGCAUCCAUAAGGAAACACACUAUCCUUUUAAGCACGGUAAUGAUAGUGGUCUUCACUGUAGAUUUUUGCCGAGGAAAAUUUUCUGCUCAUGCUUGUAUAUUUAGAUGCGGGUGGAAUAUUAUUGAUCCUGUAUAUAAUCUUUAGUUGGGGACUUUUAGACCCCUACUAAAACUGUCACCAUAUCUUAUGUUUCUUGUAGUGUAUAAUUGGACUUUCAAAAUAGAGUAGCUAGGAAAAAAAAUUAAAAAUAAAAUGAAAAAAAUGAAAAUCAUUAGAAAGAAUUUGGGCCUGUUGAUAAGAAAGACGACUUACCAAAAGCUUGAGAUGAAUGUUUAAUAUCUUCUGCAGCAUAUCCAUUGGACAAAUUUGCAAAGAACCUCCAACCACUUGUGCAUAUAGGCGGGCGCGGCCUGUACUUUAUGUGAUUAGGGUGUGAAGAAUAUAAUUGAAGUGUAAAAAAAAUAUUAUAAUAAGAUGAACAACAUGAUCAAGGAACUAAAAAUAUGAUUAGAACAUAAAGAAUAUGAUUAAGAUACAAAAAAAAUUAUGGUUUAGGUAUAAAAAAAAUACGAGUGAGAUUAAAGUAUGAAAAAUGUAACUAAUUAAUUUAUAAUUAGGGUCAAACUUGGACCAAAAUGGUAGAAAAAUAAAUACUAAUUCUUGAUUCAACUAGCUUAACUUACACCAUAAUUAAGAAAUUUAAAAAACAUAUGAUAAUUUUUAAAACUUGAAUAUAAAAUUAAUUUAAAAGUCUUUUUUUUUUUUUUCACCUUUUGCUAAUCAAUAUAUGCAUUCCAUUUUUUCCUUCUAAAUUUUGAACUUAAAGACUUCUAAUAUCUAAAUGUGCUCCUUUCCUUCCAAUAACUCAUUCCAAAGAUUAGCUUUUGAGUAUUAUAAAAUUAAAAAUUAAAUAAUAAAAAAGAAAAGAAAAAAAAAACGGAAUAUCAAUCUAGUAAAUGAAAAGAAAGAAGACGGACCUUAUAGGAGGAUGAAGAAAAGUGUGUUAGGUUGAAAACUAGAGAAGUCUCGAUUUUUUGUUGUGUGGGUUCUCUGCACCAUCAAGACUUCUCCUUAACAUUGAAAUCUGUAUUUUCACUCAAUAACCGAGGCCAAUGGUUGGUGGCAUUGGAAUCUCUGUUGAAGAUGUUGGUUUUAUAUAUAAGAUGAAGCCCACACUCUUCCACUUUCACUUCUUCACCAUAAAAUGAAGCCUUCAAAUGUCUCCAUUCAUUUGACCAAUGCUUAUUCUCAAUAGCAACCUUUGGAUAAAAUGCCACCAAGACUCUAUUUGAUUCACCACAAUUACGGCAAUGUAGAAAGCUACGGCUAAAUAUGAGUAGAUCCAUGAACUUGGAUUUAGAUAAGCAACCAUCCGGAUAAUCAAAGUAAAAAUUAUGGAAGGUCAAUUGACACCAAGGAUCUUCAUAUUCAAAAACAGAGCAUAAGGCAAAUCCCAAAAAGUUGUUAUCCUCCCACCAAUUCUCAGGAAGUUCUACUCCUAUUUUAGAUCCCUUUUUCUUAUGGCUUAUCCACUCUGGAAUUCCAUUAUUUCCAGGCAUUAAAUAUAAGGUCAAAAUUUCGAAUUUCUUCCUCCAAUAGGACCACCUACACUUCUGUAAGAAAUAUUAGUGUAAUUCUUGUGUUUUUGUCAAAAAAAAAAAAAAAGGAAAAAAAAAAUGUUAAAUGUCUUGAAAAUCAUACCUCAAUUGUUGAUUCGAAGCACUUGAACAAGGAAAAACCAAGUAAACUUGAGAGACUUGAUAAAGUUUCCAGGCAUGGGCAGUCGUGGACAUCAAGAGCUCGUAAACUCGGUGGAAGCUCUGGAAUUUGUAGAAGCUUCUGGCAGUGAUACAAGCCGAGGGUUCUCAGUUUAGAAAGUUGAAUGAUGUUGGCAGGUAUGCUACUAAAAUGGUUCCCAUCCAGAGAUAAGUUUUGCAAUGAUGAAACGUGGCAAAUAUGAUUGAGGAUCUCUCCUUCCGUUAGACUGCAGUUACUUAGAGAUAAAUUUACCAGUGAAGAUAGGUUCCAAAUAUCACUAGGGACUCCUUCUUCCAUUAGAUUGCAGUUACGAAGACAUACACUUUUCAAUGAAGAUUGGCGGAAAAUAUCACUGAGGAUUCUUCUUUGAAUUGGACUGAAGUUACCUACGGAUAAUACUUCUAGUGCAGAUAGGUGGAAACCUCUGUAGUCUCUUGAACAUGAUUCUACCAGUGAUGACAGGGACAAAACAUAAUGGUUAAGGACCUCUCCUUCCACUUCAUUUUGUAGUAGAUUAUUGCUCCACCAGAUUACUCUUUGCUUUAGAAUGCAACAAGUUAGAUCCAAAGAUCCCACUAAGUUCACCUCCACUCUCUCCAGUUUAGGGCAUUUUUGGACAUCAAGUUUUUUAAGAGCUCUGCAAAUACUAUCUGGAAGACUCACAAGCUCUGCACAACAUUUCAAAUUCAAGUGUUUAAGAGCCUUUAGACGUCCAAUUGAGGAUGGAAGCUCUUCUAUACCUGUAAAACUUAAAUCAAGCAUUUUUAGAUUUUCCAUAUCAUCUUUGAUUUCUGGAAAACCCUUUAAAUUUGAACACCCCUCCAAGAUGAGAGUUUCAAGAGAGCUCAAAUUGCAAAUGCUCUCUGAAAGACACCUUAGGCUUUUGCAAUAUGACAAAUCUAGGUGUUGAAGAGCCUUUAGACGUCCAAUUGAGGAUGGAAACUCUUCUAUACUUGUAAAACUCAAAUCAAGCCUUUUUAGAUUUUCCAUAUCAUCUUUGAUUUUUGGAAAGCCCUUUAAAUUUGAACACCCCUCCAAGAUGAGAGUUUCAAGAGAGCUUAAAUUGCAAAUGAUAUCUGGAAGGCUCACAAGCUUUGUACAACAUUUCAAAUUCAAGUGUUUAAGAGCCUUUAGACGUCCAAUUGAGGAUGAAAGCUCUUUUAUACCUAUAAAACUCAAAUCCAGCCUUUUUAGAUUUUCCAUGUCAUCUUUGAUUUCUGGAAAGCCCUUUAAAUUUGAACACCCCUCCAAAAUGAGAGUUUCAAGAGAGCUCAAAUUGCAAAUACUCUCUGAAAGACUCCUUAGGCUUUUGCAACUAGACAAAUCUAGGUGCUGAAGAGCCUUUAAACGUCCAAUUGAGGAUGGAAGCUCUUCUAUACCUGUAAAACUCAAAUCAAGAUGUUCUAGAUUUUUCAUAUAAUCUAUGAUUUCUAGAAAGCCCUUUAAAUUUGAACACCCCUUCAAGAUGAGAGUUUCAAGAGAGCUCAAAUUGCAAAUGCUCUCCGAAAGACUCCUUAGGCUUUUGCAACUAAACAAAUCUAGGUGUUUAAGAGCCUUUAGAUGUCCAAUAGAUGAUGGAAGCUUUUCUAUACAUGUUUCCUUCAAAUUAAGCCUUUUUAGAUUUUCCAUAUCAUCAUUGAUUUUUGGAAAGCCCUCUAAAUUUGAACACCCCUCCAAAAUCAGAGUUUCAAGAGACCUCAAAUUGCAAAUGCUCUCUGGAAGUUUUGCAAGGUUUCCGCACGAUAACAAAUUAAGGUGUUUAAGAGCCUUUAGAUGUCCAAUUGAGGAUGGAAGCUCUUUUAUACCUGUACGACUCAAAUCAAGCAUUUUUAGAUUUUCCAUAUCAUCAUUGAUUUCUGGAAACCCCUUUAAAUUUGAACACCCCUCCAAGAUGAGAGUUUUAAGAGAGCUUAAAUUGCAAAUGCUCUCUGAAAGACUCCUUAGGCUUUUGCACCAUGACAAAUCUAGGUGUUGAAGAGCCUUUAGAUAUGCAAUUGAGGAUGGAAGCUCUUUUAUACUUGUAGCUGUCAAAUCAAUCUCUCUUAGCUUACUCAUAUUUCCUUUGAUUGCGGGAAAACUCUUCAUCUUUAAACAAUCUUUACAAGAGAGACUUUGAAGACGUUCCAACUUAUGAAAGUUUCUUGGAAGACUCUCAAGGCUCCUACACCCUAUCAUAUCCAAGAAAACAAUUAGUUAAUAACUUUAAUAAUAAUAGUAAUAAAUAAACCUUUAUAGUAACUUUAUACAACCUUUUAGAAUUAGGAUCUCCAAAUUUGUCACCCUUGAAAAGUCUGAAAUUUCAACAAGUUUCUCUGAGUAACUAAGGUUGAUGACUUUCAAGUUGUCAAGAAUCUGGAACAAAAUAAAAUGUCUUAGUAGAUAAUUUUUUUUAUAAAUUUUAAAAUUAUUAUAAAAACUAUUAAUGAAACAACAAUUAUAAUAAUACCUCAUUCCCUUGCCAAAGUUGUUUUAUGCUGCUAUGCUUUAAAUUAAGUUCAACAAGAUUCUUUGCAUGAAAAUUUGUUGGCAAGGAUUCUAAAGGGUAUCCCUUAAAAUGGAAAUAUCUUAACUCAAAAUAAGGAAAAUCAAGAUUCUUGAGGGCCUUAAAAUCUUUCUUCCACAUAUGUGGAUAAUAGACUUUGAGCAAUCUAAGUCUAUUCAGUUUUGUGAAAGAAUUUGUAGAUAUCUGGCUUGCUAGAGAACCUUGUACAAAUAGUCCUUCAAUUGCUUGAGUCCCCUAAAAAAUAAAAGCCAAGAAUAAGUCAAGCACAAGAUGUACGAAAAUCAAUUAAGUUAUAUAGAUUUAUUAUUUCUUAAACAAAAUACAUUUGGCUCUUACCGUAUUUCUUGUUAACACACUAUCAACAUCAUUACAAUCCCAGAGUCUACUCCUGUUUCCAGGCUCUUUGAGACAUUCUUGACGAACAAUUUCUUGGCCCAUUUGUUGUACUAAAUCAUGCAUAUCUAACUUGUUUUCUGAAAUAGUAAGAAGACAUUUAUCAUUCAAAACUUUUAUUCCCAUCAUUGCAUAACUUCCUAAUAUUCUUGAAACAAAAUCUUUGUCUUUUCCUCUGAAAAAACAUGCAAUAUCCAAGAAUAUCUCUUGACAUGUAUGAUCCAAUUUAUCAUAACUUACUUUAAGCACAUUUUGAACUAUCUCGUCAGGUAUUUUUUUUACUUUAUGCAAUUCACUUUCCCAUUCAUUUAUUGACUUCUCAUAGAGAAAGCCACCCAAAACUUUAAGUGCUACUGGAAGACCAUGAGUAUACUCCACUACACUAUUUGAAAGGCUUUCAAAUCCAGUUUUGGGAGUAUUUUGCUUGAAGGCCCACCAAUUAAAAAGUUCAACAGAUUUUUCAUGAUUCAACUUUUGCACCUCAUAAAGUGCUUUUACUUCAUGUUGAUCUAACAAAUGUUUAUCUUUAGUUGUUAUGAUGAUUAUACUUUUUGCACCAUACCAACCAUGUUUUCCAGCCAAGUUUUCUAAUUGCAUGUAGUUGUCCACAUCAUCAAGAACAAUAAGGACUCUUUUCGAUCGAAGCCUUUCCUUUAUCACAUUGAUUCCUUGGCUAAUAUUGUUGAAUUUUGGCACUUUACACUUGACGAUAUCUUGAAGAAGUGUCUUUUGUAAUUUAAGUAGACCAUCUUCACAUUUCCCCCCAACAUUUCCAAGAAAGCUACAACCAUCAAAUUGAGACGAGAUAUCAUUAUAAAUAGCCUUAGAGAUGGUAGUUUUGCCAAUUCCACCAAUCCCAUAGAUACCAACCAUGAGAACCUCAUCCAAUUCAACUUUUAUAAGUGAUUUUAAUUGCGUCAAAUGAAAGUCCAUUCCAACUAUGUUGUAGCCCAUAUCUAAAGGCGUACGAUUCAAUCUUAUAGCGAUAUCUUCAUAAAUCCUUUGAAUAAACUCUGCCUCAGAUCUAUUAAUCAUAAAAUAUGUGGUAUUAGAAUAUGUCACAAAUAUAAUCAAUAUGAAAUAAACUUGAACAAUAGAAUGUAAUAGAAAAAAACUUGAACAAUAUUGAUUAAUUUAAUAUAAUCAAUAUUAAAUUACUUAUUUAAGUACAUUCUAAUUAUUCCCAGCUAUUAAUUCAAGUAAGAAAAAAGUGAAAAAUGUAAACUUUAGUUGCUUACUUUGUUGAAAGGUUCAAAUUGAAGUCGACUAGUAUAGAACAUUAUUCGACUUCAUGAUAAGGGAUGCUAUAAUCAUAACACAAGCAUAUGUCAAGCUUCAAGAUAGCUUCCAAUUUGGCAUCCAAGUUCCCUAAUCUAGUAAUACCUUUCUUGAUUAAAGAGAAUUGUUACUCCACUAUGCUCUCACAUAACUUUCUUUCACCCUUUAUUUAGUAAAAAAGAUCUUUAAAUUCCUUAUUCCCUUGUUUCUAUGUUUUAUCAACUUACCAUUAUUUUAAUGAUUUGUUUUUUGAUUAAAAACCUUUAAUUUAAUUGAAGAAGAUUUGAAAUACUUCUUAAAGAAAAUUAAUAUAAGAGAAUAGAGAUUCAUUUUUGUUAGUGCUUUCAUAUUCACAAUGCUUUCAUUAUGAGAAUAAAGUUGGUAAGUUAAGUAAAUAUAUAUAUAUAUAUAUAUAUAUAUAUAUAUAUAUAUAGUAACAGUUUUUGGGGAUUGAGCAUAGGGCCAACUAACCAAACGGUCAAUGGAACAAACUUUUUAUAAAAUAAAAAUAAAAAAAUAAAAAUAAAUAAUGUAUCAUUAGAUCACAAAACAGGUUAUCCAAGAAGAAUAUCAUACUAAAAAUAUGAUCAUUAUAGUGUAGCAAAUUUGGAUGAACAAGUCUUUGAACAAUUUAUGCACAAAUACUAAGAAUUGAGACUCUAAAUAAUAAGGAAGGUGCAUGAGAAUCUUUGCAGUGAGUGAGCAUGGAAUUCAUGGGCAUUAUACAAUCAAAAUGUCUUUGCAAUAUAGAAUGGUUAAACAUUAUACUAGGCUUGUGUCUAUAAAUUCUAGAUCUCUAAAGAGACAUGACCAUUCAAGGUGUUAUAAGAUAAUUGUAAUAGAGAUGAUAGAAACUACAGAUGUAGGGAUCCCAAAGAGAUGAGAAAAUCCUUCAUGCAAGCAGCCUAAGUUUAUAAAUGUCAUUUACACUUUCACUCUUUAAAAUAAUAUCUUACUAAAAGUGUUCAUUAAAUUAAACUAUAAUAUUAAGCACUUAAAAAGCUUUAGAUUUUGAAUAUAUUAGAGUGAAUAUGAUGAGGAUGAUGAUGAUGAUGAUGAUAGUGAUGGUAAUGAUGAUAAUAAUCAUAAUAACUAUAACCAAAUGAUGAUAUAAUUAGUAAUAGUAAUUAUAAUUAAUAUCGAUAGUAUUUGUAUUAUAAACCGUAGUAGUAGUAGUAAUAAUAAUAAUAAUAAUAACAAUUAGCAGUAGUAGCAAUAAUCAAUAUUGAUAGUAUUUUUAUUAUAAAUUGUAGUAGUAGUAAUAAUAAUCACAAGAAAGUAUAAAAGAAUGAAAUAGAAAAGUGAAAUGGAAGAAUAAAUAAAUAAAUAAAUAAAUCCAUUUGGACUCUUUUUCAUUGAUCAAAUAUUAGUCAAAUAUUUAGUAGUAAUUUUUUUGUAGAAAAAGAAAAAUUUUUAAAAACAUAAAAUAACAAAAUUAAAAUGGAAGAAAAAGAUAAAAAUAAUAAAUAAAUAAAUGAAGCUAUUUAUUGGACUUUUUAUACUGAUAAAAUAUUAGUCAAAUAUUUAGUAGUAAUUUUUCCUCCAACCCUAGGUCCUUACACUAUUAAAUUAUUUAUCUCAACUAUUUAUUAAUAAAAUAAAAGAAUGAUUUACUUGUAGGUCUCACCAUGAAAUCCAAGGUCACGCUACCCAGCUUUGUAAUUUAAGAAAGUAGGAUAAAAUUUAUCUAGUAGAAGUAUAGUUACUGAUUCUGCAGAUGAAAUCCAGACAGGUUGGCUGCUAUCUUCAAGGCAUUCUUCCACGUUUCUAUUUUCUUCUUCUUCUCUUGAUCUGCAUCUUUUGCAUGCUCCAAAAAUGCAUCUUUAAAACUUCCUCCUUGAUUUCGUACAUCUGUUGGCUCCACAUGGUAGAAAACCGGCAAAACCACUGAUUUCUUUUCUGUCAUACAAUCGAUGAUCUUUACCAGUUCAUUCAAACACCACUUGGAGUCAGCAUAGUGUUUCGAGAAAAUAAUAAUAAAAAUCUUUGAUUCUUCGAUAGCUCUCGAGAGAUCUGAUGCGAUAUCUCCUCCUUUCUCAAGUUCUUCAUCAUCUCUGAAGGUGUGAAUUCCACGUGCAACCAAAUUAGCAUAAAGAUGACCAGUGAAAGUCUGGCGGGUGUCUUCACCUCUAAAACUCAAGAACACAUGAUAAUUAUAACCAUCACAAUUAGAAGUGGAAGACGACGCUUUUAAGGUGCUACUAGAAGCCAUUUCUGGACUGGAUCUGGCAAAUUACAAGGAGGCUAAGAACGGAAAGAAAGGGUCUUUGGUUGCUAAAUGGCUGUUCUUCUCCUCUGGCAAGCAAUUUUCCUUUUCUUUUUUUUUUUUUUGUGUUGGACGCAAGAGGGAAGAAUGAAAGUUCAUGGAAGAAAGAGAAAUACUGUUUGAGUCAACAAGCUAAAUUGUCCUGUUCCAAUUGUGGGGCUGCCACUAUUGCUCAGUUUCUCAGAUUCAUCGCGGCUUCACAUGAACCAACAGCUGGCCUCAAUAAUGAGACUUGCGAGUCUGUUGAUAUCCAUUUUAGGUUUUUCACUCUAUCAUUUUACUUUUAUUUCCCUUCCUUUGCCAUUCAAAAAUCAAAGCUCAUUCUUUUACAUCUAUGCCAUGUCCAUGUUUCUUCCAUUUUUCCAUUUUGAUUUAUUCUUUUAAUUUUUAUUGGAUUUUUUUUACCCAAUGAAGCUGUGAGACUCCUACGGUCCGUUUAGCAGGAUUUCUAAAAACCACUUUUAGUAUAAAAGAUAAUCAUAAAGAAAAAUUACGUAUCAAGAAAACACUUUUAAAUAUUUGAAAAAUUAUUUAUAAUAUUUUUUGGUGAAUCAUUUUGCCAAUAAUUCUUUUAAAAAGAUUUUGAAAGAAAAUAUUUUAAUUAAAAACAUUUAAAAUAUAAUCAUUUAAAGUAUAUUUGAUGAUAAUUUUAAGAAGUGUUUUAGGGUGUAUUUGACAAUAAUUUUAAAAAGUGUUUCUACUAUUUAUAAUACUUUAAAAAAUUUAUUUUUAAAAUAUUAAAAACACUUCUUAAAAUUACUAUCAAACGCUCUGUUAAUAUUUCUAAUACUUAAAAUAUUUUAUCAUUCAAGUAUUAUAAAUAUUAGAAACACUUUCUAAAAUCACUUUCAAACGAAUUCUUAAUAUACAAUGUGUGAUAAUAUUUCUAUUUGAACUGUUUUUAAUAAAAACGAUUUCUUUAAAAAUGUUUUUGUGAGAAUCAUCAAUUAGAGACUUCUCCCAAAAGCAUUAUGAGUGAUUUUUCAAUUUUUUAAAAGUGUUGUUUUAAGUGUUCUCUUAUUACUUCUCUAUGAAGCACUAAAAUUAUAGUAGAGUUUAAAUUUUUAUUCAAAAAUACUUUUUAUAUAUAAAGUGUUUUUUAAAAUUACAAUCAAAACCCUUAAUUUAAUUUGUUCAAUUAAUGAAAUUUUGUCAAACUCAAGUGAUUCAAGUUCAAUAAGAUCACCCUAGUUGCCAAAAAAUGAUUAAAUUUGUACAUGAUGAGAAAUGUUAAAUUAAGAGACAGAAAAAACAAAAUUCCUAUUAAAAACAUUAGGAAAUUGUAAAAGGACAAUGUAGCCAUGUGAGUAAAGAGAAUUUUUAUCUGGAUGGAUGGAAUAAAUAAAUAAACACAAUUUCCAUGAAAUCUUUUGGGAGAGGAAAUAUGUUGAAGAAAUUAUCAUUUGUAAAAUUGGUCAUGAAAAAAAGUCUCUCCUUUUUGCUUUAUGCAUUGUUUUUAUUAGGGUUUAAUAAUAUUUCUAAACUUCUUAUUCAAGAAAAUUGAACAAUUUAAUGUUAAACGAAAUUUAUGAAUACAAGUAUUAAAUACUUUUGGCUCCAAGACCGUAACUAAGUAUUUUAAAAAAAUGAAAAGAUGGAGUUCUUUCAUGAAAAGCUAUUGCCUUAAUUUUUUUCUACUCAAGAAUUGUGAUUCCCAACUUUAAUUAUAAAAAAAAAAAAAAAAAAAAAUAUUGAAGUUGCUUUUGAUCUGCCCAAGAAUCCAUGAUUCCCGCGGCAUGCUCAAAUAUUUUUGUGUAGCUUUCAUGAAUGAUGGCACCCAUGUGGUUUUGGGAGGUUCUCAAUAAAUCUGUCUUUGUGCAUGUGAGAGGGCACCCAUGGAGAGUGACAUAUUUAAAAUUCUCUAUUUGAAAAUUAGAUUUGCACAAAUGAAGAGUGGGAAUUGCACCUACAAUAUAACAAUACAUCUACACUAAACAAAGAAAUUCACUACCAAACACGAAAUAUUAUAUAUAUAUAUAUAUAUAUGUCACUUGCUUAUAAUAUAAAUUAAUGUAAUAAUGGUUGAGGUAUGAAAUUAAGUACCUGUAUAUGGAAUCUUAGAAUAGAGUUUAAUUGUAAUCAUAAUUCGAUUAGAUGAUUUCGAUCAUUGAAAGUAAUCAAUUCGGCUUUUGAAUAGGUACUUGUGAAGUAAUAAUGAAAAUGGUUGUGUCUUUCCUCCACGCUUGACCUCCACUUUUCAUCCAUGGACACCAAAUUUUCACCCCUAUACACUUGCAUGUGAUAACAUAUAAAAAAAAUUAAAUUUUAUACAUGGAAUAUCUACGAGCCAGAUAAUUUAGCAUGAAAGCUUUGUGUUCUAUUAUCUUCAGAAAUUUGUAGAAGAGUAUAUAAUAAUAAUAUAAAAAAUAAUAAUAAACAUCCUAUAAAUAUAAAAGAAGCAUUAAUUUUUAAAAUCAAGAAAAUAAAAUAAUAUUAAUAUUUGAAUGGUAUUAAUCUAUGGAUAUGUUGAUUGAAGUAAUUCUUAUUAUUGUGUUUAAUUCUAUAUAUUUUCUUUAUCAUUUUUGUUAUAUCUCCUUAAUUAUUCUUAUUGUUUCCAUACAUCUUCUUGAUUAUUUUUUUACAUCUCUUUAAUUAUUUUCAUUAUAUCAUUCAACCAUUUGGUGUUUUGAUUAUUUUUAUUUUUUUUCAUUUUAUGUUUAUUUCCUUUAAUAAUGUAUAAUUGUUAAGGAAUAAGAUUAAAAAAUAAAUAAAGUCUAUUCAAUAAUAUUUUUAAAAGGUACUUUUAAUAUAAAAGAAAUUAAGUAUUUAAUAAAAAUUAAAAAAAUUAGUUUGUAUAAAUAAAUGGUUAAAAACAUCUUAUUUUUCUUUAAAAAUAUAUUUUAUACUAGAAGUGAUUCUCUAAUAUAUUCAUAUUAAAUUUAAAAGUGAAACUAGCCUAUUAUACAAUAAGUUGGAGGAUCCCACCUAUUUCUUGGAGCAAUGGUUAAAACCUCAGAGUUGGAGGAUUAUUUUCAAAGUGUCAACGGAAAAAUCCAAGCUCCAUGGACAAUGGUUUCUCAAAAAAUUAAGGUUGAGGGUAUUAAGGGCCUUCCUCAAAGAGGACUAUGGGCUGUACCACCAAACUCCUCUUUUUGUUAUUAACAUAUGAUAAAAUUAAUUUUCAGACUAAUUUAUAUUUUAUUUUAUUGGAUGAUAAAUAUGUUGGAAAUUAUACUUUUAUAUAAUUAAAAUGGUGCUACAAUAAUUAAAAAAUCUAUUUUUUUCUAUAUUUAUUCAUUACAAGAAAAUAGGAUUUAAUAAUUGGCCAACAAGCCUCAUUAAAGAUUUAAUUAACAUUUUCUACAAAUUUUAUUAUUUUUUAUAUAAAUUUUUUACGUAAAAAAUAGUGUUUUGAAGAUUGAAUCAAGUAUUGAAUAAGAAAAAAUUUUAAUGACUUCAUUAGCCUUUCAUUUAAUAAUUCUAUUUUACUUGGACAACUUUGUCUUUUUCUUUACUUUCUUUUUUUUUUUUAUAAAAAAAAUCUAGUUUGAUAUUGAUUAACAAUUGAUUCACUUAACAUUUAUUCUAAGGUCUUGUUCUAAAAAAUGAUAUCAGAAGAUAAAUUUAUAAAUAUAAAAGUUGAAAUUCUUAACAAAAUUAUAUAUAUAUAUAUUAUUUUCAAUUAUCUCCCAUUUGUUGGAUGAUAAUGGGAUUGCUUUGUUGGUAUAGUGGGUUUGGUUGGAGUUAUUGAUUUUGGUGCUAUCUUUUUAUUUUUAAUUUUCCUAUUUGUUGGAUGAUGGUGGGAUUGGUUUGUUGAUAUAGUGGGUUUGAUCGGAGUCAUUGAUUUUAGUGCUAUUUUUUUAUUUCAAUUAUCACAGUGUGUUCACUAAAAUAGUGAUUUAAUUUUGGUCUAUAUUUUCAAUUAUUUCCCUUUUGUUGGAUGAUGGUGGGAUUGGUUUGAUAGUCAAGAUUCCACAAUUCUCUUACAAGUUACAAUUUCAUUCAUUUAAUUUUGGAAAAUGUUAAGUUAUUGUAAUAGUACCUAUCAUGUGAUAGAUCUGAACCGUUAAAUAUAUAUAUGGUAAAAUACAAGUUUCAAUAAAGGUAUAAAUAAAUUAACUAAGAUAUAAAUAUACAAUUAAAUAGAGUUAGACAAUAAACAAAAGAUCAAAAAUUAUAUAUGUAAUACCAUUUAAUUGAUAAUGUAUUUUUGAUAAAUAACAUAAAAAAAAAUACUAUUCAAGUGAUGUAACCAAACACUUUAAUUUUUCUUUACAUUUCUCAUUUGGAUUUUACUUGAUAUUCCCAUAUCCUUUUUUUCUUAAAACAACUUUUUUUUGCUUCUUGCUUAUUAGUAUUUGGUGUUUUUCCAAGGAAGAUAAGAUCUUUAAUAUUUUUCAUUUUUUCUUCAAUCAAACAAUUGUUACACCCAAAGUGGUUAAAAGUGUGACUGCAUGGGACUAUGCAUCUUAAUAUUUAUAUCAAAUUAAAAUCCUUCUGUUAGAAUUAUAUUUUUGUUAACAAGGAGUAUUAUGAAAUGCUUACCACCAAAAUAAAAGUAGAAAUGUUAAAAGUUAAAAUGUUACGUAAAUAUGGGGAUUUUGGCACUAAGAGUUUGUUAUAUUGAUAAGAUAAAGAGAUGCAUGACAUCAAUAACAAGGAGAAAAAUUGGGAAAGUUGAAUUUAGGUUGAUUUUUUCUAUACAAUAUUAAUUUUUAACCCACAUAACCAAAAAUGGAAAAUCGGAGGAAAGAAAAUAAAUGUUAAAUAUAGAUUAAAUUAAUUGACAAAUCAUAACAAAUACCUAAUAAAAUAUAGUAGAAAAGGAGUGUGUUUGAAAAUGAUUUUAAAAAACGUUUAUAAUAUUUCUAAUAUUUGAAUGAUAAAAAUUUUCAAGUUUUAAAAGUAAUACAAAUAUUUCCUAAAUUAGAACUCUUGAAGUUGGAAACACUUUCUUAUCUUUCAUGUGUACAAGUGAUCCUCGCAAGCACAUAAAUAAAAUAUGGUAUAAAAAAAUUAAGUUUUGUGAAAAAAGUAAAGAAUAUGGUCAUUUGGGUUUUAUGUAAUUUUGACCAAUCGAAACAAUCGAAGCCAUCAAAAGUAGAAAACAAAUAGAGCCAAGUCGUUAAUUUUAACCAGCAGCAUAUAACCAUAAGAUCAGAUUCAUGAUCUGAGUAAAUGUUCCGUCAGACUCUGGAGCCAUGUUUGGAACCAACCCUUGAAAGAUUUCAUUAUCUGCCAGCACCAAGUCUCUAGCUAGGUGAUGCAGUGAUACGGUGCAGUAGAUUCUUCCGGCGGUAGAUCGACUGCAAUGGAGCGAAAAGCUUGCUUUAUCUUAAGCAAAGCCCCAUUGCAAUCAUUGAAAAGGCAAUUAACCAUUUCUCUAAUAUAUCCUCACCAUACCAAGCAGAAGAUGCCUGCACAAUCAUAGUGCAAUUGGUACAUGAAGCAAAAAAGAAUUUAAUCUGUCAAAAAAAAAAGAAAGAAAAGAAAAAUCCGAACUGAAUACGAAAUCAAAAAAAUCAAAAUAAGAACCUAUAUAGAAAAUGAAAAACAACUGAAAGAUUCAACAGUUCUAUGAAACAUAGACAAGCUAACAACAAUCAUUCACUUGUAAGCCAUGGCAAACACUGAAAACUAUAGUGAAAUAGAAAAUUAAACCUAAAUAAUAGUAGUAAUAAUAAUAACAAUAAGAAAAACCUACUGUUUGGUUGACAAGAAAAAUUGGAACCAACCAGUGCAAGCAAGCAUAUAGCGAUGCUCUUCUUAGAUUCAAUUCGGUUAAAUAUCAAGUAGUUGGCUUAAAGUUCCACUCCAUAAGACCUUUCACUCUCUCUCUCUUACUCUAUUUUCUCCCCCCGUCUUCACUCCUAAUCAUCCUAAACCAACUGAGCUCCUCCACAACCCAUUGAAAGACACCAAGUUGCACCAGCAACAGAAAUCAUAGCUGCACCAAAACUGUUGAACAACUCAAGAAGCGUGAUAGCAGUUAGGAGUUUGUUUUAGUUUGUUAUUAGGUUAAACUUGUUGAGAUAUUAGGAAUGCUUUUCUUGUAUCAUUCUUUCCUUAUAUCAUUCUUUCCUUGUAUCAUUCUUUCCCAUUCUUAGAAUGGUGAUUAUCCUCUAUAUAUACUCUGUACAUGAACGAAUAAAAGAAUGAAUGAGAUAAAUAAAUAAAAAACACACACCAUUCAUCAAUUUGAAGAUGGUAUCAGAGCCAUGAAACUGAAAUCUUGGAUAUUUUGUCUGUAAGGCCAACCAUUGCUUUCAUAUACAGAUUUGCCAUCCAGAUUCCGAUCUCCGUUACCCAAUUUUCUGAUUCGUUGAUCUUCUGUCCUUCGCUUUUGAUUUCAGAUUUAUUAUUAUUCAUGUGGGACCAUAGUCAUUGGAAUAUCGGAGUGAAAAAAAAAAGAAAGGAAAGAAAAAAAAAAGGAAAAAAAAAUUGAGUGAAAAAAAUACUAUUGUUUUUCAAUCUGAAGGUACGUUUAAUCCAUGAAUUAUUUUGACUGAAUCAAACUAUGACGUUUGGUCACAACUCAUGGAGAUGCAUAUUGCUGAAAGGGAAAAACUUUCCUACAUUCGAGGUAAAACAAAUCCACCAAAAGAGUCAGAAGAUGGAUAUGAAAAAUGGUAUGUUGAGAAUCAAAAGGUGAAGAUAUGGUUGUUAAUGUGCAUGAGUCUAGAAAUUAUGAAGUGUUACUUACGCUUACCCACUGCUCAAGAAAUUUAGAGUGCAUUAUCAAAGGCCUUCUAUGAUGGAAGUGAUGAAUUACAAGUUUUCACUUUGAAUAAAAAAGUCUUCACUGCCAAACAAAGCGGCAGGUCUCUUUCUGAAUAUUAUGGAGAGUUAACUGAGAUUUUUUGCGAAUUGGAUCAUCAGGAUAAGGUAGUCAUGAAAGAUCCUGAUGACAUUGCAGCAUACCAGAAAUCCAUUGAAUGACAACGAGUGCACAUCUUUCUUGCUGGAUUGGAUGGUGACCUUGAGCAAGUUCGAGGAGAGAUUCUACGCAAAGAUCCUCAUCCCUAUUUGGAAUAAUGAUAUGCACUGAUUUGACGAGAGGCAGUGCAUCAUGCUAGUAUGAAAGUAGAAUCUGAAAACCCUGACACCUCAGCUAUGGUAGUCCGACAACGAUCAACCCAGAAUUGGUAGGACCAAUCCAAGACCAAUCAUCCUAAGAUAGGCCCUAAUAUUGAUAAGUUAACCUUCAAAUGCACUCACUACAAUAAGACUGGUCAUACUAAGAGUCGUUGCUUUGAAAUUGUGGGAUAUCCAGAUUGGUGAGAUCAUAAUCAUGAUCAAUAGAAGAAGGAUUUCAAGAAAACCUCGACUACAGUUGUUGUCGAAAUAAAAAGAGAGGCUAAUGCUGUUGAGAAAGUCUUUGCAUUGGUAGCUGCUAUAGAUUAUGGUGGUAAGGUUUUAAAUACUUCCACACUUGUUAUUAAUAGUGCAUGGAUAAUUGAUUCUGGUGCUACAGAUCAUAUGACUUUUGAUUCUAGACAGGUCUCACCCCUUAGACCUUCCUCACAAAAAAUCGUUUCCAUAACCAAUGGUAACACAACCUCAGUCAUUGGGGAAGGAUCCUUAACUCUUACUGAUACUUUGAAUUUGGAUUUUGUUUUAAUUAUUCCACCUUUAGAUUACAAUAUUUUUUCAGUUUCUCAAAUCACUACAACCUUAUCUUGUAUUGUCAUUUUUUGGCCUGAAUUUUGUGUUUUUAAGGACAUCCAAACAAGACAGACCAUUGGUUAUGGUAUUAAAUGGGGAAAACUCUAUUACUUGGAUUUGCAGUCAAAGGAUUCCAAUAAGUUGCGACAAACCUUGAUGGUAGAUGGAUCUGAGGGGAAUGAGAAAAAGUCUGAAAUUUGGUUGUGACAUCGACGUUUGGGACAUGCUUCCUUUGGUUAUUUAAAAAAAUUGUUUCCUAGUUUGUUUGCAAGGAGUGAUAUUUUUGGUUUCCGUUGUGAUAUUUGUGAAUUGGAUAAAAGCCAUCGUACUUCGUUUCUGUUAAUUUUGAAUAAAAGUCUGCUUCCUUUUAUGGUUAUACAUUAUGAUGUUUGGGGCCCAUCCAAAGUCCCAACUUUGAGUGGCUUGCGUUGGUUUGUUAUUUUUAUUGAUGAUUGUACCAGAAUGACCUGAUUAUACUUGAUGAAGACCAAAGAUGAAGUGAACUUGUUGUUUCAAAAUUUCCGUAAAAUAAUUGAAACUCAGAACAAUGCAAAGGUUCGGGUUCUGCGUAGCGAUAAUGGUGGAGAAUAUCAGAUUUUUUAUUUUCAAAAGUAUUUGGAAGGACAUCGCAUCAUUCAUCAGACUACUUGUUCCAAUACAUCCUAGAAAAAUGGAGUCCCUAAACGGAAAAAUCAGCACUUGUUAGAGGUUGUUCAUGUUUCCUUGAUAGCAACAAAAAUGACGAUAUCUAAUUGGGGAGAAGCAAUCACAUCUGUCGCAUACUUGAUUAAUUGAGUAUCUUCCAGCUCAAUUGACUUCCAAACAUCUUUCCAAACUCUUACUAAUGUCGUAGUUACCCCAACUGUCCCAAAUCUACCUCCUCGUGUUUUUGGUUGCGUGGCAUUUGUGCAUCUACACAAACACCAACACACCAAGUUAACUUCCUGUGCAUUGCAAUGUGUGUUUGUUGGAUAUGCAUUACACAAAAAGUGAUAUCGAUGUUACCAUCCUCCAACUCGACGAAUGUUUAUUACAAUGGAUGUGGUGUUUAAUGAAGAUUCGAUGUAUUUUUCAUUUGAGUCUGAACUUCAAGGGGAGUACCAUAAAGAAAUUUAGACUCUCGAUUAUGAUUAUCAUAUCUCGGAAGGGGAUGAAUCCGAAAGAUCUGAACUAGUGAACAAAGAAGCGAGUGAAUUGGAUAUGAGUGGUACAACUCUAGAACCAAGUAGUAAUGAAGCUCCCGUGUCAGGAUGGAGAUUUCCAAGCCAUAAAUGUAAGUAGCUGAGCGUCAUAAAUGUUUUCAUUCAAAGUAAAGCUUUUAAUCGCUCUGACUUGCUUUGAAUGGCCAAUACUUGAUAACCUUUUGGUCUCAGUGGAUUCUUAUUGUUAGAUCCACUGAUGUUCAUUAGUUAUCUCCUACGAGCCAUUAUAUUGCAAGUCGAGGAGAUGACCUAUACCAAUAAAAGAGCAUUUAUGAGGUUCAGCUACCCUUUUUGUAAGUUUUCAAGGACUAAAACUCAGUUGUUAAACUCAUACCGGUUCGGGAAGUAAGCAUCACCUUAGUUACUUCCCCAACUCGAGGUGAAAAGUCCUAAAAUCUCCAUUUUUACACAGUGAGUUAAGCAUGGCUAUCCAAAGCUUUGAGAAAUUUCUUUUUCCAUCUUUUAACCUAUUUUCAUGUUAGUUUAGUUUACAACACCUUCAUCUUUUUAUGUUUUCAUCUUAACCUAAUUUUUAUUAAGAAAAGUUCACUCCAUCCUCUGAACUUCACCAGUUAAAGUAAAAACCCUUCCCAGUGUUCGAUCCUAGAGCCACUAUGCUAUAGUAGCUUUGCUACUUUAGUGUAAGGACCUUAGGUAUAAAUUUUGUUGAUACCCUUACAUGCCAAGCUACCAAGAGUCGGGUUAUCAAAUGGCGCCGUUGCCGGGGACAGUUGCCGGGGAAGGUGCUACUUCACUGUGAAUACAUUAGCCGGAGGUAACUUGUGAGACUUCUCAUGAGUGAGGUGAAUUCUAUCUCAUUUUUCAUUUACUAACUUUUUAUUUUAGUUUUAGAACAUUUUUAACUUAGUUUAGAUAAGUUUCUUUUAGCUUUUAACUUUCAUUUUUAGUUUAUUUUUCAUACUCUGUUUUUCCUUCCGCAUGCUCUGUUUUUUUUUUCUUUUUCUUUGUUUUAUUUAUUUGUUUUGUUCCAGCUGAAUCCGUGCAUGCCCUAUUGGAUUAGAGACCAAGAGGGAAGGUUAGUGCGGAUAGAGACUCCACGAGCUACUGAAUUAGAGAUUAUUUUGGAAGUCAUGGAGAAUCAGCCAGAGGAUCAACAUUCACAACACGGGCAGGAGAAUGAUCCGAACUUGUAUAGGUCCAUGAGGGACAGGAUGCACCCUCCGAGGAUGAGUGCACUAUCUUGCAUCAUUCCUCCUACAGAGCAAUUGAUUAUCAGGCCACACAUCGUGCCUCUGCUUCCUACUUUCCAUGGGAUGGAAAGUGAAAAUCCAUAUGCGCACAUAAAGGAAUUCGAAGAUGUGUGCAAUACUUUUCAAGAAGGGGGAACAACUAUUGAGCUUAUGAGGUUGAAGCUCUUUCCAUUCACAUUAAAGGACAAAGCCAAGAUAUGGCUCAAUUCCUUGAGACCGAGAAGCAUAAGAACAUGGACAGAACUUCAAGCUGAUUUUUUGAAGAAGUUUUUCCCUACUCAUAGAACAAAUGGAUUGAAGAGACAAAUCUCCAACUUCUCAGCACGUGAGAAUGAAAAAUUUUAUGAAUGCUGGGAGAGGUAUAUGGAGGCCAUCAAUGCAUGUCCUCACCACGACUUUGAUACAUGGCUUUUGGUGAGCUAUUUUUAUGAUGGCAUGUCAUCUUCAAUGAAGCAGAUAUUGGAGACAAUGUGUGGGGGUGAUUUCAUGAGCAGAACCCUGAGAGCUAUGGAUUUCCUAAGUUAUGUCUCAGAGGUUUCCCGNNNNNNNNNNNNNNNNNNNNNNNNNNNNNNNNNNNNNNNNNNNNNNNNNNNNNNNNNNNNNNNNNNNNNNNNNNNNNNNNNNNNNNNNNNNNNNNNNNNNNNNNNNNNNNNNNNNNNCCAUAUCAGUCACCAGCCCAAUUCAAGCCAACAAAGUCAAGGUCAAUCCUCAGUUGAGCAAGCACUCAUAAGCCUUAGCAAGGUUAUGGGAGACUUUGUGAGUGAGCAAAAAUCCAUCAACUCUCAACUAAAUCAGAAGAUUGACAACGUAGAGAGUACAUUGAACAAGAAGAUAGAUGGGAUGCAUAAUGAGUUGUCUAAGAAAAUUGACAACAUCCAAUAUUCCAUCUCAAGGCUCACAAAUUUGAACACUGUCAAUGAGAAAGGGAAGUUUCCCUCUUAGCCUCACCAAAAUCCUAAGGGGAUACAUGAAGUGGAAUCCAAAGAUGAGGAUUCUUCAAAGGUGAGGGACGUGCAAGCUAUUAUCACUUUGAGAAGUGGUAAGGAAGUGCAUCAGCCGAAGCAUGAUCAGAGGAAAGCCAAAGAAGACAAGGCUGAUAGAAAAGAAGAAAAGAAGAAAGAACAAAAGGGAAAGGAAAUUCAGAUGAAAGAAAGCAUCAUUCCUAGCAUGGAUGAGGAACUUCAAAUUCUUUUAAAGGAAGGCAUGAUGAAGAAACACAUGCCUCCUCCAUUUCCUCAAGCCUUGCGUGGGAAGAAACCGAUCAAGAAUGCUUCUGAGAUUCUUGAUGUGCUAAGACAAGUGAAGGUGAAUAUUCCUUUACUUGAUAUGAUCAAGCAACUACCCACAUAUGCAAAGUUUUUGAAGGACUUGUGCACUGUGAAAAGAGGACUCAAUGUUACAAAGCAAGCCUUCCUACUUGAGAAAGUGAGUGCUAUAAUCCAAUGCAAGUCUCCAAUCAAAUACAAAGAUCCGGGGUGUCCUACAAUCUCAGUCAAUAGUGGAGGAACCCAAGUGGAGAAGGCAUUGCUUGAUUUGGGGGCAAGUGUUAACUUGCUUCCAUACUUUGUAUACAAGGAGCUGGGGUUGGGAGAACUCAAGCCAACAUCGAUCACCCUAUCCUUAGCUGAUUGAUCAAUGAAAAUCCCCAGGGGGGUAAUAGAAGAUGUAUUGGUUCAAGUUGACAAAUUCUACUAUCCAGUAGAUUUUGUGGUGCUUGAUACGAAUCCUAUUGUCAAAAGGAUCAACUAUGUUCCAAUCAUCCUUGGAAGACCAUUCCUUGCAACAUCCAAUGCAAUCAUCAAUUGUAGGAAUGGGGUCAUGCAACUCACUUUUGGGAAUAUGACAUUGGAACUCAACAUCUUCCAUCUAUGUCAAAAGCCCAUCCAUCCUGAAGAAGAUGAGGGCCCAGAAGAAGUGUGUAUGAUAGAUACCCUGGUGGAGGAGCAUUGUAAUCAGAGUAUGCUUGAUCAGUUUGAAGAGAAUCCAGAUGAAAGCCAUGAAGAUCUUGAUGAUGGGUUAGUUGAACCCAUGAGAAUGAAUGUCGUUAUGUCAAACUGGAGACAAAAGCCAGUGAUCCUCCCUUUGUUCAAGGAUGAGGAAGAGAUAAAAGAAGCUAAGGAUGCAAUCCUUAAGCUUGAAUUGAAGACCCUUCCUGCCGAGUUGAGUAUGCUUACUUGGAGGAACGCAAUAAAGCCCCGGUGGUAAUUUCUUCUUCUUUAACCGUUUCACAAGAGGACAAUCUUCUAAGAAUCCUUAGAAAGCAUAAGAAGGCCAUCGAAUGGCAAAUUUCUGAUUUGAAGGGGAUAAGCCCAUUGAUUUGCAAGCACCAUAUUUAUAUGGAGGAGGGAGCUAAGCCAACUCGUCAGCCACAGAGGAGAUUGAAUCCUCAUAUGCAAGAGGUAGUAAGGGCUGAAUUGUUGAAGCUUCUUCAAGCGCGCAUCAUUUACCCCAUUUCAGAUAGCACUUGGGUGAGUCCAACCCAAGUUGUUCCAAAGAAGUCCGGGAUAACCGUAGUCAAUGGGGAAAAUGGAGAUGAAGUGUCCACACGCCUCACAACUGGUUGGAGGGUGUGCAUUGACUACAGGAAGCUGAAUACAGUAACGAGAAAGGAUCACUUCCCUUUACCUUUCAUGGAUCAAGUCCUUGAGAGAGUAUCUGGGCAUCCUUUUUAUUGCUUCUUGGAUGGGUAUUCCGGGUAUUUUCAAAUAGAGAUUGAUGUGGAGGACCAGGAGAAGACUACCUUCACUUGUCCAUUCGGCACCUAUGCUUAUAGGCGGAUACCUUUUGGAUUAUGCAACGCUUCUGCUACCUUCCAAAGAUGCAUGCUUAGCAUCUUUAGUGACAUGGUUGAAUGAAUCAUGGAAGUCUUCAUGGAUGACAUAACUGUGUAUGGGACUUCUUUUGAGGAUUGUUUGUCACAUCUUGAAGAUGUUUUGAAAAGAUGCAUAGAGAAAGACCUCGUACUCAAUUGGGAGAAGUGCCAUUUUAUGGUAAAUCAAGGUAUUGUUCUUAGGCACGUAAUCUCAAAGAAGGGUAUAGAGGUAGAUAGAGCUAAGGUGGAACUAAUUGUGAAGUUGCCACCUCCCACCAAUGUAAAAGGAAUAAGGCAAUUCCUUGGGCAUGUCGGGUUCUAUAGGAGGUUUAUAAAGGAUUUUCCAAGAUUGCCAAACCUCUUUGUGAAUUAUUGGUGAAGGAUGCCAAGUUUGAGUGGGAUGAUAAAUGUCAAAGGAGUUUUGAGCUUCUUAAGCAAUUCUUGACAUCAGCGCCCAUUGUGAGAGCACCAAAUUGGGAGUUGCCAUUUGAAGUGAUGUGUGACUCAAGUGAUUAUGCCAUUGGGGCUGUUUUGGGACAAAGAGAAGAUGGUAAACCUUAUGUGAUCUACUAUGCAAGCAAGUCUUUGAAUGAUGCUCAAAGGAAUUACACCACCACUGAGAAGGAAUUACUUGCUGUGGUGUAUGCUUUGGAUAAGUUCAGAGCUUAUUUGAUAGGGUCUUCCAUUAUGGUAUUCACGGAUCAUUCAGCUUUGAAGUAUUUGCUAACCAAGCAAGAUGCCAAGGCUAGGUUGAUUAGGUGGAUACUUUUGCUUCAAGAGUUCAACCUCCAGAUCAGAGAUAAGAAAGGUGUUGAGAAUGUGGUAGCUGACCACUUGUCAAGGCUCAACAUCGCUCAUGACACCCAUGGACUUCCCAUAAAUGAUGAUUUCCCUGAGGAAUCCUUGAUGCUUGUGGAGGAAGUGCCAUGGUUUGCACACAUUGCCAAUUACUUGGUCACGGGAGAAAUACCAAGUGAAUGGAGCUCUAAGGACAAGAAGAAUUUCUUUGCCAAGGUCCAUGCAUAUUAUUGGGAGGAGCCUUUUCUCUUCAAGUAUUGUGCGGACCAAAUUAUAAGGAAGUGUGUGCCUGAACAAGAGAAGCAUGGGAUCCUAUCUCAUUGCCAUGGGAAUGCAUGUGGAGGCCACUUUGCCUCUCAAAAGACGGCAAUGAGAGUUCUUCAAUCGGGCUUUUGGUGGCCCUCACUUUUUAAGGAUGCCCAUGAGGUAAGUAAAGGAUGUGAUAAGUGCCAAAGACUAGGCAAGAUUUCAAGGAGAAACAUGAUGCCUUUGAACCCCAUCUUGAUAGUGGAUCUUUUUUAUGUUUGGGGCAUAGACUUCAUGGGACCUUUCCCUAUGUCUUUUGGCCACUCCUACAUCUUGGUAGGAGUUGAUUAUGUUUCAAAGUGGGUUGAAGCUAUACCCUGUAGAACCAAUUAUCACAAAGUGGUUCUCAAGUUCCUAAAAGAAAACAUCUUCUCGAGGUUUAGAGUGCCUAAAGCAAUCAUCAGUGAUGGAGGCACUCACUUUUGCAACAAGCCCUUUGAAGCUCUUUUGGCCAAGUACGGAAUUAAGCAUAAGGUAGCUACACCUUAUCAUCCUCAGACAAGUGGCCAAGUAGAGCUAGCCAACCGGGAAAUUAAGAACAUCUUGAUGAAGGUGGUGAACACCAAUAGGAAAGAUUGGUCUGUUAAGCUCCUUGAUUCCCUAUGGGCGUAUAGGACGGCUUAUAAGACUAUCCUUGGGAUGUCACCGUACCGUCUUGUUUAUGGCAAAGCUUGCCAUCUUCCCGUUGAGAUUGAGUUCAAGGCAUGGUGGGCCAUUAAAAAGCUCAACAUGGAUUUAACUAAGGCUGGGCUAAAGAGGAGUUUGGAUUUGAAUGAGCUCGAGGAAUUGAGAAAUGAUGCCUAUCUCAACUCAAAAAUAGCUAAGGAAAAGCUAAAGAGAUGGCAUGAUCAGUUGGUGACCAAGAAAGAAUUUUUCAAGGGACAAAGAGUCUUGCUAUAUGACUCUAAGCUUCACCUAUUUUCGGGAAAGCUCAAAUCAAGGUGGGUAGGGCCUUUUGUCAUCCACCAAGUACACUCACAUGGAGUAAUUGAGUUACUCAACUCAAAAAGUGCAAAGACCUUCAAGGUAAAUGGGCAAAGACUCAAGCCCUACAUCGAGCCAUUUUCCCGUGACAAGGAGGUACUCAUCCUCCAUGACCCAUCACAUCCUUGAGAAAGUGUGGUAAGUUGAUGAGCUUAGCAUGAAAAGCUAAGUGCUCAUCUCUUUUUGUUUUAAUUUUAGUAUUACAUUCUUGUUUACUUUGCAUUUUUAAUACUUUUGCACAUAUGUUGUUUAGGUUUCUUAGUUUUGAUUUUGAUUUUUUAUGUUUUUAAUGGAGCUUUGAUGUCCAAUAGCAGGUACGAAAGCUCAUAAGCUCACAAAUGUGGAGAGAAAGGUGAAAUAGGGGAGAAAUAUAUCUAAGUCCAAGCUUAAAAGCCCAUUUCGCAACUCAAAAAGUGAGUUGCGAAAAUUUGGCAAGGUGAAUUUCACCUUGCGAAAUGCACAUUUUGGCAAGAUGCAAUUUACAACCUCUCGGGAUUGCACUUUCGCAAGGAGUAACCAGUGCGAAAAUUUUCGCAAGGAGUAACCAGUGCGAAAAUUUUCGCAAGUCAUUUUUCACCUUGCGAAAUUGUUUUCAAAGCAAAUAUCAAAAUGAAACCUCUCGGGACUGGUUUUUAAGGGGAGUAGCUAAUGCGAAAAUUUGGCAAGGUGAAUUUUCACCUUGCGAAAUUUUUUCUUCAUACUUACCAAGGAUUUGAUUCUUUUUAAAUUCAUUUUCAAACUUCAAUUUUGUAGUUUUAACACUCCUGAUUAGCUUUUGAGUAUAGUAUGGAUAACUAUCAUCUCCCCCCAACCUAAGUCUUUCUUUAAGCUUAACAAAAUUAACCAUCUCUUGAUAGGCUAGGAACGCACCUCUUAUUCACAAUUCUUUUCACUUACUAAACUUAACCAAUUCACCCAUGUAACAAGCAGAGGAUCGGUGACUCCCAACCAAUAAAGGCUUAGGGCACCAGGCUUUAAAGGCUUUCGCCACCCCUUCGGACCAUGCUUAGGUUUCAAGGCAAGCAAAGAAGUUUAUGCUAUUAUUAUUAUUUUUUUUUCUUUUUCUAUUUUUACAAAGACUCAUUGGUCUUUAUGAGGUGUCCCAACACUAUUAAAGAGAGGUUAAAGGUGUCAAAUUAUGAUUUCUCAAGCUUAGAGGGUGAGAUAGUUUCACAUCUUAUAACUGGAAUCUAAUGUAUGUGUGUGCGAAUAGCUUAAGUGGAAGAGAUAAGUUUGCAUGCAAUGGGAGUUUCAACAAUUCAUCAGCUUUNNNNNNNNNNNNNNNNNNNNNNNNNNNNNNNNNNNNNNNNNNNNNNNNNNNNNNNNNNNNNNNNNNNNNNNNNNNNNNNNNNNNNNNNNNNNNNNNNNNNNNNNNNNNNNNNNNNNNNNNNNNNNNNNNNNNNNNNNNNNNNNNNNNNNNNNNNNNNNNNNNNNNNNNNNNNNNNNNNNNNNNNNNNNNNNNNNNNNNNNNNNNNNNNNNNNNNNNNNNNNNNNNNNNNNNNNNNNNNNNNNNNNNNNNNNNNNNNNNNNNNNNNNNNNNNNNNNNNNNNNNNNNNNNNNNNNNNNNNNNNNNNNNNNNNNNNNNNNNNNNNNNNNNNNNNNNNNNNNNNNNNNNNNNNNNNNNNNNNNNNNNNNNNNNNNNNNNNNNNNNNNNNNNNNNNNNNNNNNNNNNNNNNNNNNNNNNNNNNNNNNNNNNNNNNNNNNNNNNNNNNNNNNNNNNNNNNNNNNNNNNNNNNNNNNNNNNNNNNNNNNNNNNNNNNNNNNNNNNNNNNNNNNNNNNNNNNNNNNNNNNNNNNNNNNNNNNNNNNNNNNNNNNNNNNNNNNNNNNNNNNNNNNNNNNNNNNNNNNNNNNNNNNNNNNNNNNNNNNNNNNNNNNNNNNNNNNNNNNNNNNNNNNNNNNNNNNNNNNNNNNNNNNNNNNNNNNNNNNNNNNNNNNNNNNNNNNNNNNNNNNNNNNNNNNNNNNNNNNNNNNNNNNNNNNNNNNNNNNNNNNNNNNNNNNNNNNNNNNNNNNNNNNNNNNNNNNNNNNNNNNNNNNNNNNNNNNNNNNGAAUUUAAAUGAAGCUGAUAGCAUGUACCCCAAAAAGAAGAUGAACUAUUUAGCUCAUCCUCCACUCACACACCCUACUUCAUGCUGAAUUCCCCCUGGAUCCCAAACAAAAUUGGCAUCCUUUCCCAUUUGGUCCAAGGGAAUUCGUUUCUCUUCUCUUCCCUGGAGAAGUGGAUGCUUUAAAGGGUUCAGGUAACCCUUUAUCAUCUUGAACCUUAUGAUUUUCAAUGGAAGGUUGGUCCAUAGAGUUGUCAUAGCAAUCCCCUACCAAAGUGUCGAUCUUUAAUACUUUCCUUAAUCUUUUUGCAUUGGUUCCUUGAAGGUUAUGGUGGGGUUGAGGAGGAAGCUUCCUUUUCCCCCUUGCUAUGUCGAGAUUGGUGAGUUUCUCAAUGGAGUCUUGAACUUUUUCUAUCCUUAGUGAUAGAUCAUUAUAAACCCCCUCCAUUCUUACAUUUAUUGAACUCUCCAAAUUAUCAAUCUUUUCAUUAAGAUGAGAGUUGAUCUUUUGUUGUUCACCUACAAAGUCCUCCAUGACUUUGCUUAUCUUCAAAAUGGCUUGCUCCAAUGAAGAUGUACUCAUUGAUGGUUGAGGUUGAGGUUGGGUUGUAAGGUUUUGAUGGUUAUUCCAACUUGAGGUGUAGGAGCUUUGGUAACCGUACAUGUCUCUCACAAUUGGAAUGGUAGGGCACUCCCCUACCGUAUGCUCAUAUGAAUCAUCUCCAUUCAAAGCAUACUUACUACCCCAUUGGCUUUGUUGAACUUGCCUUUUCCCUAAUUCAAUCCGAUCCCUCAUGGAUAGGUAUGCGAAUUUGUCCUUCUCAUAAUCAUAAUGAGAGCUUUGAUCUUCAUGUGGAAUUUCCAUUUCUAAAAAAAAUGAUAUUCAACUAAGGCUCUUUUCUUCAACUUGUACCAGGGUUCCCUCUUGGUCUCGAAUCCAACAAGGAAUGCACAAAUUGAAAUUAAAACAAAAAUAAAAGAAAAGAGAAUAAAAAAAAAUUAACUAAAUAAAAACUAAACUAAAAAAAAUUAUAAGAAAACUCACCAAACUUGUGAUGAAGAUCACAAGUUACCCUUAAUGGUUGCUUCACUGUGCUUGUGGCACUUUCCCCGGCAACGGCGCCAUUUGAUUCGACUCAUGGUAGCUUAGCUUUAAAGGAGUAUCAAUAAAAUUUAUACCUUAAAUACUAUUACUAAAGUAGCCAAGCUACUAUAGCAUAGUGGUUCUAGGAUCGUUCACUGGGAAGGGUUUUCGUAAACACUAGUGAUAUUCAAAUUAGGAAAAUAUGUGAUUUUCUUAUGGAUGUUAGCUUUAAAAGAAAGUGUAAAUGUUUUAGAAAGAUUUAAACUAAUCUAAGCUAACAUUAAAGACUAAAAUGAAAGGGUGUAAAAACAAGUUUCUCAAAGAUAGGAUAGCUAUGCUCUGGCUCUUAUGCAAAUUGGAAAUCUCAGGAUAGGCUCCUCGCGUUGGGGUUGCAACUAUGGUGAUGCUUGCUUCCCGAACCGGUAUGGAUUUAGCAAAUCAAGUUUUAAUCCUUUAAAAUGGCAAAACAGAUGGUAGUGAAUUUCAUCAAUGGUUAUUCACCUUAGACUUCUUUUGAAUGACUCGUAAGAGAUAACUAAUGGUCUAAAGCUAAAAGUUUACCAAAUAUUGGCAACUCAAAGUCAUUCCAGGUGAUAAACUCACCUUUCAAUGGCCAUUGAAAUUGGUUCUAACGGAUUAAUGCAAAACUUGGAAUUGAAAACCUCACCUUCCAAUAGCUCGUAGGAGAUAACUAAUGGAUAGAAAUCCAAAAGCUUAUCAAGUAUUGGCCGUUGGAAGUUGUCCAAAGGAAAUAAAAACCAAACUUUGCAUUAAUGAACCUUUAAUGAAAAACGACUACCUUACCUUCCAGGUGCGAGAAAUUUCCAUGGGAUUGCAUCCAAGUCAUCACAUAACAUCCAUACUUCGAGAAACUAAAAGUUUUAGCCAAUCAUCCUCUGAGGAAAAGCCCUCAGAGGCUGUUUGGCUACUAAGAAAAUAGAAAUGGGGAAGAACAGGAGAAGAGAGAAAAACAGAGCAAGGCUCCGUCUCUGUAUAUCCGUCUAUAUAUGUGUAUAUUUUACAAUGGAUGCACGGGAAUAUAAAUAGAGAAGUUUUUUCCAACCUUCCUAGCUAAGAAAUCUUAUGAUUGGUGGAUUACAAGGAGAAGAAUGGAAAUUUAUACAAAAAUAUCUAAAAGAAAAUAUCUCGCGUGGAGUCGGCAAAACAGAGGAAAAUUCGCACCACGCAUGGGCUGUGCGAAUUUUGAAGGUGUUGUGCGAGUGUUGUGCAAGUUUCGCACAAGCUUCGCACAAGAUGAAGGUGUUGUGCGAGUGUUGUGCGAGUUUCGCACAAGCUGAAGGUGUUGUGCGAAUUUCGCACAAGCUGAAGGUGUUGUGCGAAUUUCGCACAAGCUGAAGGUGUUGUGCGAAUUUCGCACAAGCCUGGAGCAGUUGUCUUCCAAAGGCCAUAUCUUCCUCAUUUCAGCUCCAAAUUGUAUACGGUUUAAAGCGUUGGAUUCUUGACUUCCUGAGCUUUGAAAUGGUAUAUAGCAUGUAGAAAAUGGACUUUGGAAAGUGCUCCAAAAGUGCAAAGGAAGACUGCAGCUGCUGUCAUCUAUUUUCUUCACUUUCUCUUUGCUUCUCUUUGCUUCUUUCCUUUGCUUGGCUUGUCUUAAUGAUCCAAAAAGCUGUCAAAACACUAAAACUAGCCACAAAUAUGAUUAGAAGUCAUUGCUAGGUCCUUAACAUGCCAAUUGGAAUAAAGAUGGAGAAUUACUACACAAAAGUGCUUAAAAGAUAUUGAAUUAAAGGUAUAAAAUAGCACUUUUUGGGUAGUAAUCAACUCCUCAGUUCAUCCCCGUACUUAGACAAAUUUUCAAAAAAAAUUUCAUGGCCAAAAACCCUUUUUAAAGCCUUCUCAACUUCAUUUUUCAUGCAUAAAAUACUAUUCCCCUUGCAUUUCCUCUCUAGGCCGCGUGCUUCAUUGUUUCAAGGUGAGUAAUUUUUCAUUUUUCUCCAUUUUUGGCUCCUUAAAUUGCUUGUUUAUGUCAUUUCUAUGUUUUAGGAACCAUAAACAUGCAUUUUCAUCCAUUAAAACCAUUUCAAAAAUCCAUUUUUUCAAAUCAAAGACCCAUAUGGCCGGCCACCAUUUUUGCAAAAAUCUCUAUCUUGCAAUGUGUUUUAGGCUCCCAAACUUACUCCAUUGCGUUUAGAAUCAUGUUUCCAUUAAAACCAUACCCUUUUUCUGAAUUUUAAACCGUUAAAAAUGAAAACUCAAAUUCAAAGUAAGCAUUGGAGAAGAAGAUGAAUAGUGCAUGUGAAUAGUGCUGCGUGAAUAGUGCCCGUUGCCAAAUUUAGCAACCACUAUUCAUGCCUUGCAAAUUUUGCACUGGUUACCAUUUCAACUGUAUUUUUGACACUUUACCCCUGGGAUGCUCUAUUUUUCGUGUUUUUCAGUCUUAUUUCAGUAUUUAUACCAUGGCACGGACACGGGGGACAUCCUCUUCAGCUAGUCAGCGUGGGGCCCACUCACAGAAAGGUGGUCAUUCUACACCAUAUCAGCCUGCCCAGACCCCAGUUCCCUCUACUCAGCACGGGUUCGAGACCAGACGAUCAUCUGGGUCUUCCAUGGCACCAAUGCCACCCCCUGUGAGCAGUCCUCCACCUAAGAGGACUAGGAUUUCAGGACUAGGCGAGUCCUCCAGAGCCCCUCCAUCACCUCCAGCAUCUACUAUCCCAGGCUCUUCACACCUAGCAGAGGUCCUCAAGCGGCCUAUGAUAGCAGGUCCACCCCUACCAGGCAACACGGAUAUCAGAGAUAGGCCAUUUCACGAUGAGAUCUGUAUGGAGCAUGAGACUCUCCGCCUAUUACCAGAGCUAGAGGAGUCAUACCGCCUUCUGCAGAGGUACCACAUCGAGCCAUUUAUGACUCCUAGGUCCUUCUAUUACCCUAGGGUAGUCUUAGAUUUCUACCAGACUAUGACUACUAGAGGCGUUCAGGACCCCAUAGCCAUUCAUUUUUUGAUUGAUGGCCAGCAUGGUAUUUUAGAGGCCCGAGAUAUAGCCGCCGCUAUGCAUUUUCCGCCUAUCCCUGAGGACCUUGGUUCCUUCCGGCAUUGGUCUCAGUAUUCAGAGCCCGACAUGGUGUCUACCUUAUCAGGAGGUAGAGUCACUGGUAGGACCAUUUUGAAGAGGGAGCUUCCUCCACGGAUGUUACUUAUCGAUUUGGUGCUCCGCACCAAUCUUUUUCCACUCCAGCAUGUCGUCCAGAGGAGAGGUGCUAUCCUAGAUGCACUUUACCGCAUCUCUGAGGGAUUCUACUUUGGACCCCACCAUCUAGUCAUGACUGCUCUUACCUAUUUUGAGGAAAAGGUGCAUAGGAAGCGCCUACGCAGAGCUGGUACUAUUCCACUCUUAUUUCCGAGGCUGAUCUCUCAGGUCUUAGAGGAUAUGGGAUACCCUUCUCAGCCCCACCUAGAGCGUCGUCAUCAUUGUCGAGAGCUCUUUACCAGUGAGAGUUGGACCCAUUUCUUAGACCGCUCACCCAUGGACCAGGGUAUCCCUAGACCAUUAGCUCCCGCGCCUCCAGCUUCUCCAGCACCUCCCGAUUCUCCAGCAGCUCCCGAUUCUCCAGCAGCCUCAGCACCUACAGUACAAACAUCACCAGAGCAGGACCCACAUACCACAGAGUCUUCUUCUUCAGUACCUGUUCCAGUGACUUGCAUUACUGAUACUCCCACCCCACCAGUCACUCCUGCUCCAGCCUAUGCUGAGUCUUUAGCCGGGCCAUCCAUCACUGUCUCCGCUAUAGAGUUCAGAGCUCUCAUGUCGUCCUUUCACUCAUUGAGCGCCUCUCAGGCCACCUUAGUCCGUGAGAUGCAGGCCAUCAGACGAUAGAUGGAUACCAUACAGACACAUCAGGCUCAGCAUAUAGCUAUUCAGGCUCAGCAUACAGCUAUCCUGGACCAGCACUCCGCCAUACUCUCUCAGAUCCACCAUCACCUGGGCAUAUCACCUCUUCCACCUCAGGAGCCACAUCCAUGAUUGGAUAUUUCUAUCUCCAUUUUGUAUAUGUUUUUUGUAUAUGAUACAUGUUAUAUCAUUCAUUCCUCAUCUUUUUCGAUAGAAACAUUGGGGACAAUGUUCAUCUCGGUUGGGGGGAGAGUUGAGCAAGUAAGUAUUUCCUAUUUUAGUUAGUUAUUUUGUUGAUUUAGUAGUUUUUGACCUUUUUCAAAAUUUUUUGUUUCAUUCUCUAUGGUUGUUAAAGAUAAUUUCUCAAAAUAAAAUAGGAUAAGUCGAGUUUUAACUUAAUUACUUAAGUCUUAGAGUUUGUUUUAUGCUUUCAAAGUUGAUAAUCUAUUGAAGCCCUCUUUGAUUUCGAACUUAUUUCUUCCAUUUCAAGCUUUACACACACCGUGCACAUUAGAUCCUGGAUAUAUGAUGUAAAACUUUCUCACCCUCUAAGCUUAGGAAAAUUUUGACUUGGUUCAUUACUUAAUCUCUUUUUAAUAGUGCUGGGACACCUCAAAAAGACCAAUGAGUCUUAAAAAAAAAAAAAAAAAAAAAAAAAGCUUCUACUCUUUCCUUGAAACCUAAGCAUGAUCCGAAGGGGUGGCGAAAGCCUUUAAAACCCAAUGCCCUAAACCUUGAUUGGUUGGGAGUCAUCGAUCCUCUGCUUGCUACAUAGGUGAAUUGGUUAAGUUUAGUGAGUAAAAAGAAUUGUGAAUAAGAAGGUGCGUUCCUAGCCUAUUAAUAGUUGGUUAAUUUUGCCAAAGUUCGAGAAAAGCUUAGGUUGGGGGGAGAGGAUAGUUGUACAUACUAUAUCCGGAAGCUAAUCUCAUUAACACUUAGCUCAUUAUGGAAGAGUUUGAUCCGGAACCUUGAGAGUAGAGAUUCUUUUGAUACUUAAUUGCAUAAUCUCCACUCUUUGUACUUUUUGUUUAAGUUUUAGCUUUGACAACUCCUAUUGCAUUUUGAAUCUUCAUAUCUUUAGUUCACCAUGUGAGAUGUGUUUUGAUAUCAGUCAUGCCACUCAAUUAUUUUUUGGAGUGAUUUGCAUGACCUCUUUUAUGUAUAUUAUUAUGUUUGCUUAGUUUUUAUCUCCUCCAUUGCUAAGGGACUAGCAAUGAGUCGGUUGGGGGGUAUGAUUACUACAGAAAAGUGCUAUUUUGUAGACCUAAUUAUAAGGGUUUUAAGCACCUUUGAGUAGUAAUCAUAUUCAUUUAACCUAAUUAAUUCAUUAAGCUCUUUAGUAAUUAGUUCUAACCAUUUUUAGUGGCAAGUUUACAUGUUUUUCAUCAGCUUAUGAACCAAUUCAAGCAUGCCAAUUGAUGGAGGAGCUACUUGGGCGAGUUAAGCAAGGAUUUUGGACGUUUACAGGCUUGAAUUUCAAGUGGAAACAUGAGCACAAGCAAUGGGAACACCAUUUCGCAAGGGGAGGCAAUUCACUUGCCAAAUGACCAAUUUCGCAAGGUGAAUUUCACCUUGCCAAAAUUUCGCAAGGGGAUUUUCCUCAUGGUGCGAAAUUUGGCCAUUUCGCACCAUGAAGAAAACCACCUUGCGAAAUUUCGCAAGGUGGAUUUAGGCACCUUGCGAAAUGCCAAAUUUCGCAAGGUGGCUUUUCACCUUGCGAAAUUUGGACCUUUCAUCUUCCCCCCUUGCGAAAUGCCUUUGAAAUCUCCUGUUUUGAGACGCUGUUGAUGAUAUUCCACUGCCGGUUCUCCAAGAUAUUUUGCUUGACUUUUAGCUUUGUAAAUACCUAUUUUACCCUUGUAAUCAACCAAUGAAAAGGUUGCUUUUGUAAUAACUCUUGUAAUUUAGCUUUUUAUUGUCUUUAAAUAAAGGUGAAGAGCCUCAGACACGAUCAUCUUGUAACCUGUAACUUUAUAAGUUAUAAGAGCACUUUUGUUCAUACGCUUCUUUUAUCUUUUUCUUUCUCAUUUUCUUAGUAGCCAAACAUCCUUGGAGGAUGAAAUCCCCAAGGAUGAGAGGCAAAAACCUUUUAGUUUCUUGAAGUAAUGGAUGCCAUGUGAAGCUCCCAUGUCAGGAUGGAGAUUUCCAAGCCAUAAAUGUAAGUAGCUGAGCGUCAUAAAUGUUUUCAUUCAAAGUAAAGCUUUUAAUCCCUCUGACUUGCUUUGAAUGGCCAAUACUUGAUAACCUUUUGGUCUCAGUGGAUUCUUAUUUUUAGAUCCACUAAUGUUCAUUAGUUAUCUCCUACGAGCCAUUGUAUUGCAAGUCGAGGAGAUGACCUAUACCAAUAAAAGAGCAUUUAUGAGGUUCAGCUACCCUUUUUGUAAGUUUUCAAGGACUAAAACUCAGUUGUUAAACUCAUACCGGUUCGGGAAGUAAGCAUCACCUUAGUUACUUCCCCAACUCGAGGUGAAAAGUCCUAAAAUCUCCAUUUUUACACAGUGAGUUAAGCAUGGCUAUCCAAAGCUUUGAGAAACUUCUUUUUCCAUCUUUUAACCUAUUUUCAUGUUAGUUUAGUUUACAACACCUUCAUCUUUUUAUGUUUUCAUCUUAACCUAAUUUUUAUUAAGAAAAGUUCACUCCAUCCUCCGAACUUCACCAGUUAAAGUAAAAACCCUUCCCAGUGUUCGAUCCUAGAGCCACUAUGCUAUAGUAGCUUUGCUACUUUAGUGUAAGGACCUUAGGUAUAAAUUUUGUUGAUACCCUUACAUGCCAAGCUACUAAGAGUCGGGUUAUCAAUAGGUUACCAAUCUAGGCAACCAAUCCAAUUGUUUUGUGACAAUAAAGCCACAUGUGGCAUUGCUCAUAAUCCAGUACAACAUGAUCGUACAAAGCAUGUCGAGGUGGACAGAUUCUUCAUUAAGGAGAAGUUGGAUGAUAAGAUUGUGGAAUUGCCUAAGAUUCGAUCAGAAGAUCAAUUAGCCGAUAUCCUCACCAAAGUUGUCUCAAGUCAAGUGUUCUCAAAAAUUUUAGAGAAGUUGGGCAUGUGUGACAUCUAUGCACCAACUUGAGGGGGAGUGUUGAGAUAUUAGGAAUGCUUUCCUUGUAUCAUUCUUUCCUUAUAUCAUUCUUUCCUUGUAUCAUUCUUUCCCAUUCUUAUAAUGGUGAUUACCCUCUAUAUAUACUCUGUACAUGAACGAAUAAAAGAAUGAAUGAGAUAAAAAAAAAUACCAUUCAUCAAUUUGAAGAAAACUGUUAUCAGUGUAUAAAUACCAAUGUAAAAGGUUAUUCUUCAAGAUAGAAAAUUGAAAACAAUAUCUUUCUUGAUACAAAGUGUCACUCACCUCCUCGGACCAUCACACAGAACAUAGUUCUACCUAAAAGGAAAUGAAAACUAAAGCUACGUGACAAGGUUCUUCAGUAAUGCUGAAAGUUAGAAAACCCAGUUCAAAGAAAUUUUUGGUGCCAAGCUUUGUAGAAAAGUCUUAGGGUUCUCAUCGAAGGCAAGCAAUGUGAUACCAAUUAUCAAGUUGAUAUAAAACCCGUAAUUCUAAGGGUAGAGAGAGAGGGAGAUAGGGCCAAACUUAGGGAAAAAAACCAAAAUUCAUUGAAAUAAGUUUGUUUUUUGAUUGAUCAUGAGAAUUAAUAAACCUUAGGACAUUUUUAUUGUUAAAUUUUAACACAUAAGAAAAUCUGGAUAUGGAGGCAUACAAGAUUUUACUUAAUUGGCUAAUAAAACCUCAAGGUCCUAUACAAAUUAACAUAAUUCAAUUGUUAUUAAUGUCUUACUUUUGUGAGUGAAUUGUUGAGUUUUGUGAUAUGGGUUUAACUUUUCAUUGACUUAAUUUGAAUAUAUGAAUAGACUACUUAAUUAAUUUGUCUUAUCCCAUAAUAACACAAUUUAUAUUAUGGAACAUAUAAGAAAAAUUGAUAGGAUCAAAUAUAGUUGGAUCUAACACAUUAUGUUAACAUUAAUACUCAUAUUCAAUUGUGUAUAUAAAUUCAAGAAACUAACACAUACACACAUGUAUAUAUAAGGUUUCAAUUUUAUAAAUAUUUGCAUAAUGAGUAUAUUUCAAAUAAUCAAUAAAAGUUUGUAUCACAUAUAAAGUGAUAUAUUAACAAAAUAUAAUUUAUAGUUAAAUCAUGUUUUCAAAGUAGUGAAAUAACAUAUUGACUAGAGAAUUUAAAAUAUGUAUAUACACACCAAAAACAUAAAUACAUUGAUUCUUGUUAACUUGUGAAUUCAAAAAAGUUUUAGUUUAGCAAAAUCAAUACCAAAAUUUUAUCUUGAUCAACUCAUUGUAUUGGGUGGGGACAUAUCUCUACUAAAAUAUUUGAAAGGAAAAUUUUACAUUUGAGAUGUUCUUAUCCUCUUGAAUUUGAUAGUUUGUUCUUAGUUUGAGAUUCUCUUGCCCUUUGAUAAAAUUAAUAGUGUAAGUACAAAUUGAUAAAAGUUUAGUCAAAAAUGAAAAUUUACUUGAAGUGUCUUAUUCACCUUAAUUAAUAAGGAUCCAUGAGUUGACUAAUCGAGUUUUGAGCCUUCAAGUUGUUUGAGCAUUUUAUCUUCAAUUGCUCAACUUUUUCCAUCUAGAUAUCAAUCAAACUUAAGACUAAGGUGUUAGAUUCCAUUAUUUUAUGUACUAAAUUCGUUUAAUAGAAUGCUUGGUGAUUCAAAAGUAAUAACCUUUGAACUUAAGAAUCAGUCCAAACAACAACUUUAGUAAGAAAAUCAAUGUCAUAAUUUGAUUUUUUAACUCUUUUGGAUUACUUAAGAACAUGCACCAACUUCUCAAAAUAUUCUUAAGCAAAAUAUUGGAAAUUGAAAUGUUCUUUCCCUCUUAAUUUGAUUACUGGUUCUUGCUUCAGACUCUUUAUCUCACUUUUAGAUAUUUAGAUUACAAAAUUGAAUCAAUUGUGAGUUCAAAUUAAUUGGCAAGACUUGGAUCAAAAUUAAAAAUUGACUUGAAAUAUUUGACAUACCUCUAUUAGUAAGGAUUUCCAUGGCUUAACUAACUGAGGUUGGCUCUAUCUUUAACCAAUUAGCUAACUCAAUGAUAGAUUUUUAGUGUCUUGGCAUAUCCAACAAAAACUUGAUCAAAUUCAAGGUUAAAGUGCAAUUUCAUGUACCAACUUAUCAAACAAAAUGUUUAAUACUUAAAGUUAACAAUGCAAUUAAGCUUAUCCUAAAAAUGCUUGAAAACAAGUCCUAAUAAUUUGAAUAAAACAAAUAUGGACUUUAGGCCUAUGGAGGCGUAUGGACUUUCAAAAUAGGGUAACUAGGAAAAAAAAAAAAAAGAAAAAAAAAUGAAAAAUGAAAAUCAUUAGAAAGAAUUUCAUCCCUUUAAAUCACUUAGCUAGGCAAUAUAAACUAAUGAGAGAAAGAAAAAGUGGUUUACCAAAAACCAAGAUAAAUGUUUAAUAUCUUCCAUAACGUAUCCAUUGAACAAAUUUGCAAAGGAACUCGAACCACUUGUGCAUAUGGUCAUCUUCAUCAUUUUGGGCUUCUUUGCCCAUCAACAUUAGUAUCUUUUGUAUAUAAGCCAAGAUGGACAGCAGACUUCAUCCAUGGACUAGCAUUUAGAUGAUGGAACAUCAACUAAUCCAAAUUCAUCAUCAUAGAAAUUAGCAUCAAUAUAAACAAAGUGAGGAAUUUAAGAUACUUUAUUAAAUUCCUUAAGUGAUCUUAAAAAAUAAAUGAAGAUAAUUUACCAAUGAUCUAUCAACUCAUUCUUGAGAGAAUUUGUUAAUAAUUUCAAAUACACAGAGUUAUCCAUGCUUAAAAAAAUAUAAAUUAAAAUCAAGGACAAAAAUACAAAAGAUAUUGGAACAAAGAAGUCAUUUUUUUUAAUAGUAUUCUCAUUUUGAUUCACUAUUAGCAUCUUUUCGACAGUUUCCAAAUUAAAAAUAAUAAGGUAAGAAAUUAAAUAAAAUAAAAAUUAUAAACUAAUUAAUUAUGAAAAACCAUCUUAGAAAAUUAAAAUAAAAUCUAAAAUAAGCAAAUCCAAAUUUAGUAAUUUUUAUUUUUCAUUUUAUUUUUAUUAGUUUAUAUUUAUUUUUGUUUUUAUAUAUGUAUAUUAUUAUUAUUUUUAAAGGAAGCAAAGUUGUUGCAAAUUACAAAAUUAUAAUUGUACUACUAUGAAUAAUUCAAUAUAUUAAUGUCACACUUUAUUUUGUCAAUUUUUUUUCAUAUGUUAAAUGAUUAUGUAUCUAUAGAUAAAAUCUUAAGGAUAAUAAAUGUAUUAUAUUAUAAACUAGUUUAUAUCUAAACCUCAUUAAAAGUUGUAAAAGUUUAAGAGCAAUAUGUCUUUAUUUCUUAAAAUAAAUAGGGAAAUAUACCAAGAAUGUAACUAAGGUACACAUAUGCAUGUGAGUAAUUAAAAAUAGGAAUAAUGUAAUUCACAUAUGAAAAAUGUGAUCAAAGUAUAAAAAUACAAAAAUUAUGACCGAUGUAUUAAGGUAUAAAAAAAUUCCGUUAGGAUGUAAAAAAUGUAACUAAGGUUAUAAAAAAUAUGACCAAGGUAAUAAGAUACAAAAAUUAUUAUUAGGGUAUGAGAAAUAUGACUAAGAUAAAAAAAUAAAAAAAUAAAAUGUUAUGAGGAUGCAAAGAAUAUGACCAAGGUACCAAAAAUGCAAUUAAAGUAUAAAGAAUGUAACUAAAAUAUAAAAAAUAUGAUUAAGAUAUGAAAAAUGUGAGUGAGGUAUUAUAAUGUAAAUAAUGUGACUAAUUCAUUUAUAAUUAGGCUCAAACUUGGAUAAAAGUGAGAAAAAUAAAUAUUAAUUCAUGCUUCAACCAACUUGAUUUAUAGUGUAAUUAAGAAAUUUAAGAAACAUAUAAUAAUUUUUAAAAUCUAAAUAUAAAAAUUAAUUCAAAAGUUUUGGUCCACCAAACUCAAUGAUCAUAAUAUUAGGAAUAUUUUCAACUUUUAUUAAUCAAUAUAAGCAUUCCAUUAUUGCCUUCUAUGAUAUAAUUCUUUCCUCUCAAUAACUCUUGCCAAAGUUAAGCUUUGGAUGAUUCCUAACAUUUAUAUAACCUAAAAAAAAAAAAAAACACUCCUCUUAUCCAAGAAUUGAGGAUGUCAAAUUUUCCUAAAAUUUUGGAGCAAUUGAAAGCAAACUAAUUAAAAGCAAAGGCAUGAAAAAGGAGAAAAAAAAAAAAAAAAAAAAAAAAAGAAAUAUUGCCCCUUUAAAUGAUUUGACCAUGUCUAACAGUAUAUUGAACUCCAUGUUCUUCCAAACGCCUAACAAUUUUAAAGUUGUGCAGAUGUUUCUUUCACUAAUUUUGAUACGUCUAAUAGCAAAUAAAAAGAGAGAAGGCAUACCUCACAGGAGGGUCAAGAAAAGUGUGUUGUGUCUAAAACUAGAGAUGUCCUGAUCUUUUGGGGUGUCGGUCCGCUUUUGGGUGAUCCUCUCGCCAUCACGACUUGUCUUGACAUGGAAACCAGUAUUUUCUCUCAAUAACCAUUGUAGGCAUAUAAUGAUCCUCUUUUUGAUUCAAUUCAGUUAAAUAUCAUGCAGAUGGCUUUAAGCUCCACUCCAUCAGACCUUUCACUUUCACUCGUACAUACUAUAUGCUCUCUCCUCCUAGCUCCUCACUCCUUACCAUCCCAAACCAACUGAGCUCUUUCAUAACUUAUCUCUCCAUACCAUCACACAAAACACAAUUCUACCUGAAAGAAAAUGAAAACCAGAGUUAAGUGAGUGGGUUCUUCAAUAAUUCUAAAAGAUAAAAAAAAAAAAAAAAAAAAAAAAAACCCACUUCAAAGAAAUUUUUGGUGCCAAGCUUGGUACAAAACCCAAUUCAAAGACAAGUAAUGUGAUACUAAUUAUCAAGUCCAAACAUAACCCUUAAUUUUAUGGGCAAAGAGUGACAGAUGUCGAUUACCAAGUCCACAUAUAACUCUUAAUUUUAAGGGCAAAGAGAGAGAAAGAAGUUUAAAUGAAAGAAUAUACCAAACUAGAGCAAACCAAUAUGCAAAUAUUCUAAAUUGAGAACAUCAUAGUGAGGGUAGAUUGUAGAAGCAACAUUUCAACUUAGAUGCAUCGUUUUGAAUUUUAACCUGAUGGAGAGAAAAUAAGAACUAGCAUCCUCGUAAGAUAAGAGCUUCCACAAUGCAUCAUCGUGGGAUCCUCCCUAAAAAUUGCCGCGUGGCUCCCUUUCCCUUGCGACACGUGGCACCGCCGACAUUCCACCCGGACAUCUCACAUCCGGAAUUCUUCUCCGCCGAUAUUCCACCCGAAUGUCUCACCGCCACAAUUCUGUCCGGCCAACGUUCUACCUUAUUCGGAUGUUUCACAGCCGCCAUUAUAUCCGGCCAACGUUCCACCUUCUCCGGAUGGGAGAGGAGGACGAUUCAACUUCCCCGGGCAGACAUGUCCGGAUCCUCUGGUGACACUUACCCGGACAGCUUGGCUCGUCAGAUACUCGUGAUUCGUCGGAUCCAUUUCCGCCAACAAUCAAAGAGAUAACUCUGACAAUACUGACGACCAAGUCUCCUGAACUAUCACUCACAUUUAAUGCAAGAUACAUUCGACAAGACAUUCUCAAGUUUUCUUAGGUCUCCUGACACAUCCCCGAUAUUUAAAGUCAUAAAUUGAAGCGGUGGAUGUCGCCUAAAUAUCCUCCUGACAGCUGCAAUCUUGGACCAGAAACGUCAUGAUUGCUUCAUCACCCUAUAAGCCACAAUCAUGACGAUGGGACCCGCUGGCACAACGAGGCGAUAUUUUCUGACUCAUAUAUAAACUCUAAGAAGGCUCUCAGGGAGGUAAGAGAUAAGAAAAAAAAAAACAAUAAGCAAUAUAUCAUUCUGGAGGUCAUAAGCCAAAAAAGAUAAGCAACAAAGGAUAAACAUCCUGCUGAGUGAUAAACAUCCUUGACAAAAAUCACGGAGCCACACUCCCAAAGGAAGACCUCAUUUUCCAUACAUCUUCCAAAAUACCAACUUAAUCAUCGGAGGGUGUGUCCGGACAACCCAUCCAGACAUCUUUUUUGCAGGAGGAAGAAGGAUUCACUGUAACGCGUUGAUCGAGAUCCCGUUGCUGGUGACGACUACUGUAGCAGUGGAACUUUGCCAUCAACAUUGGCGUCAUCUGUGGGAACGUCUUUUCUUCUCAGUAAAUCCUAUACCUUCCAACUGUAAAGAUGACUUCACCCUCAAGGAGUCGUUCUUCCGCCAGAGGAGACGAAGGUUACUUCGAAUGGCGAAACAUCAUGGAAAGACGAUAGCGAGAGAACGAACGGCAGACGCAAAUUCUGCUCCAAGAAACAAGGAAACUCAGGGAAGAAAACAAUGUCUUGAGGAUCCCAGGCUCUUCCCAACAUCAGCACUAUCAGCGGAGGCAGAAUCCCUACCACUACCAGGAAGCUCCAUUCCCCCUCGAGGCGAGCCCAACCCUCGAGGCGCAUCAAGCAUGGCCUGAUGAAACCCCAGUGCACGCUCACCGCGUCCGACGAAAAGAUAGUUCAGGCUCUACUCGAGUCUCGCCCAAGCGACAACGUGAAAAAAGACCCCAAAUAUCUGACGCGAUGCGCGCACGUCUGGGACCUCAAACACCCUGCAGAAACAGGCCUUACACAGCCAUAUCACUGGAGGCACACUCCGAGCCUUCAAGCUCGCCUACUCUAUAGGGACAUGUCGCCAGCCCACUCGUGGCGCGGGUUGGUAAAGAUCCCUCGCAUUCAGCCCCUCCGGGCUCUAUCAGCAGGUGCCUGGACGACAUACUCUCCACGCCUUUCAGCUCUCGUAUCAUUAAAUAUGAGCCCCCACGAGGGUUCAUCGUCCCGAAAUUCUCCACGUAUGAUGGAUCCAGCGAUCCCUUUGAUCACAUAAUGCAUUAUUGGCAGCUCAUGACCCUAGACAUAGGGAAUGAUAUGCUGUUGUGCAAAGUUUUCCUAGCCAGCCUACAAGGCCAGGCUCUUUCGUGGUUUCAUCGACUGCCCGCAAACUCGAUUGAUAAUUUCCGGGAUUUGUCCGAGGUCUUCGUGGGACAGUACUUAUGCUCAGCCAGGCAUAAACACAAUAUCAGCACCUUGCAGAACAUCAAAAUGCAAGAAAAUGAAACUCUGAGAGAGUUCGUGAAGCGUUUCGGACAAGCUGUCCUACAGGUUGAAUCGUACAGCAUGGACGCAGUCCUCUAAAUUUUUAAACGGAGCAUAUGCCCAGGGACCCCCUUCUUCGAGUCCCUCGCCAAAAAACCUCCUACAUCCAUGGACGAAUUAUUCCGGCGUGCGAGUAAAUACUCCAUGCUAGAGGAUGACAUCCGUGCCGCUACACAGCAGGUCUUGGUAGCUGGCCAGGCCGCUAAAAGCGAAGCCACCAGAAGCUUCAGAGCACCCAACCAUCCUGGGUCAUCCAACAGGGGGCAAGAUGAGCGACGUCCGUCAUUCAUUCGAACACCUCUCACCAAGUCGUAUGAAAAACUGCUUCCUAUAAUCCAUGAUCUGCCCGGCUUCAGAUGGCCAAUACCAAUAAGAUUGAACCCCUCAAAAAGGAACCACAACAAAAGAUGUGAUUACCAUAAAGAUCAUGGGCACACAACUAAAACAUGCAUAAACCUCCAUCACAUGGUAGAGGAUCUCCUAAAGGCGGGACACUUGAAGCAGUACGUCCGAACAGCGCCUAAAGGUGAAGGAUCUUCCUAUGAUCGAGGCCCACGCGCCCCAACGGCUCCUAUUAGGGCAGUGAUCAACUACAUAUACGGAGGACCCUUGGAUGACGAGUACAGUUCCAAAAGGAAAAGGCAGAGACUGCUACGAGCAGCCACGGUUCGGGAACACGUGAGCCCCAUCCGGCCGGGAUUAUCCAGUGGGAGCAUCCAUCCUAUAGAUGGAACCAUUCUCUUCCUCGCUGUAAAUCCCGCCCGAGUGCUGCAGCCGCAUCGAGAUGCUCUCAUCCUAACAUUAGGGGUGGGAGACUACGCCGUGAAAAGAAUCCUGGUCGACCCAGGCAGCUCCGCGGACCUGUUGCAGGUGGCGGUCAUCAAACAAAUGGAUUUCGAACUCUCCAACUUGGAGAAUCCCGGAAGAACCCUGUCCGAAUUCAACAAUUCUUCCACAACCUCACUUGGGGAUGUAACACUGCCGGUUCAAGCCGGGCCAGUCAUCCUAAAUGUUCUAUUCUCUGUGGUUGAGGAUUUAUCUCCUUUCAAUGCCAUUUUGGGACGCAUGUGGUUGCAUGGUAUGAAGGCCAUUCCAUCCACAUACCAUCAAAUGGUCAGCUUCAUCACCCCAAGAUGGACAAAUUAAUCUUUACGGAAGCCAACUCGCUGCCAGGCAAUGUUAUCAGAUCGCUCGCGAGGCCGGGACCAGCGCCGACCGCGAGCACUCCCCCAAAGAAGCAAAUGCUUCUGACCAAUAGCAACUAUAGCACCCGGCGGACAAAGAUCCCCCGGCAGCAGACCCGCUGGAGGCUGUCCGGAUAUCAAAAGGAUGUGAACGCUUCACGUAUGUUAGUACCCUCCUACCGCCAGCCGAGAGAUUCGAGCUCCAAAAGGUGCUCCAACAAAAUUGCGAUAUCUUUGCUUGGGCCCACUCGGACAUGUCCGGAAUACUUCCGAGCGUCGCCUCUCAUCGGCUCAACGUAUUAGCCACCUCCAAGCCCGUUUGACAAAAAAUUCAACGAUUCCACCCGGACAGGCAGAAAGUCAUUCGGGAAGAAAUGGAAAAAUUAUUGAAGGCCGGUUUUAUAAAGGAGGUGGAGUAUCCGGAAUGGUUGGCAAACGUAGUAGUGGUCCCUAAGAAGGGAGGAAAAUGGCGGGUGUGCGUAGGCUACACCAAUCUCAAUGACGCGUGCCCCAAAGACAGUUUUCCACUACCGCGAAUAAAUCAGAUAGUAGAUGCAACCUUCGGGCAUGAAAUGCUAUCCUUUUUGGAUGCUUUCUCCGGGUAUCACCAAAUUCCCAUGGCUCCGGAAGACGAAGAAAAAACUUUCUUCAUAACUCCUCACGGGCUCUACUGUUAUAGAGUCAUGUCAUUCGGACUCAAGAACACUGGGGCCACGUACCAGAGGUUAAUGACCAAGAUUUUUAAGUCGCUGAUUGGCGACAUUAUUGAGGUGUACAUUGACGACGUGGUAGUCAAAAGCAAAACCCGAAGUGAACACACCUAGCAUUUGCAGAAAGUUUUUCAUUUAUUGAGAAAAUAUGGCAUGAAGCUUAACCCAGCCAAAUGCGCAUUCAGGGUAAGCUCGGGGAAGUUCCUAGGGUUCAUGGUUACCCAAAGAGGAAUCGAAAUCAAUCCAGAUCAGGUGAAAGCGGUCGCUGACAUGCUUGCACCAACGAACAAGAAGCAGUUGUAACGCCUCACUGGCAAACUCGUCGCUCUCGGACGGUUCAUAGCUCGAUUCACAGACAAGAUGAAGCCUUUCUUUCUAGCACUCAGAGAUGUCAAUAAAUCUGGAUGGACGCAAGGCUGCCAGAAUGCUUUUGAAGAAAUCAAACGGUAUCUUUCUCAACCCCCCAUUCUAAGCAGUCCGCUACUUGGGGAAAGACUAUACCUGUAUCUAGCAGUUACCGAUUGGGCUGUUAGCGCGGUCUUGCUCCGUUCCUUGUCGCCCCGAGAACAAAAACCCGUAUAAUUCAUUAGCAAAGCGCUUGCCGACGCAGAGACAAGGUAUUCAAGGAUGGAACAGACUGCCUUGGCAUUGCGCACGGCCGCUCAAAAACUGCGUCCCUAUUUCCAAGCUCACCCCAUAACAGUACUCACCAAUCAACCCCUCAGAAACAUUCACCAUAAACCGGACAUAACGGGAAGGAUGCUAUGAUGGGCGAUAGAGCUGAGCGAAUAUGGGAUAGAUUAUCAGCCCAGACUAUCCCUGAAGGGACAGGUCAUGGCAGAUUUUAUAACAGAGUUGCCUGAAGAGCGCGCGCCGGACAAAAAAUCGACUCCGGAUGAUGGGUGGUCUCUGCAUGUUGAUGGGGCCUCCCGCUCGUCCGGAUCAGGAGUCGGACUCCUCCUCAAAGCACCAACCAGAGAACAGCUGGAGCAAUCCAUCCGUCUAGAUUUUCCCGCCUCAAACAAUGAAGCUGAAUACGAGGCCAUCCUAUCCGGAUUGGGCCUUGCAUCCACCCUGAACGCCUCAAAAGUCAAAAUCCACAGCGACUCCCAGCUCGUCGUGGAGCAAAUACGAAAAGAGUAUGAGACCAAGGAUGAGCGCAUGGCUAAAUAUGUCAUGACCCAAAUUCCGGGCGACCCAAAAUUUGGCCCGUGACCCCUGGUCAAAGGUUUGACCCUAAGGGUUUCUCCUAUUCCACGUUGGCAGUCAACUAAAACACUCUGAAUUUUUUUUUAUUUUUUAUUUUUUAUUUCAUAUAAGUCCCACUAGGGUUCUCACCAACUAACAAUAUUUUAAACCUUACUUAAACACAUCAAGAUUUAAUAAACCUCAUUGCAUCCCAAAAUAAAAUUUCAUAAAAAUCCCCUUAAUCAAACUAAGGUCUUAUUACAUUAUCCAUAAUUCACUUAUUACAAGGUCUCAAUACCACAACACAAUAAAAAAAUAAAACCUUUCCACUAAACCGCUCCAGGGGCAUCCUAAAGUCCUCCCUGUCCCAUCUGUGGAUCCUCAGGAGUGAUAUCUGCAUCUAAAAAUAUAUAAAAAGGAAGGGGUGAGCAUUUCCACAUUACUCAGUAGGGUGCCUAACACCCAAAGGGUUAAUGGGGGAUUACUAUAUUUUAAGAACCCAAACGCAACAAUUCACCAAUAUAAAUCAAGUCACACAAUUUAACAUACAACACUAUACUUAAUUCCACAACAUCCACUUAUUAAAUGAAUGCAUAUAAACGUGUGACACACAAUCAUACAAUGCACUAUCGUUCUCGGGCUUUCACCGAAGGAUACGCGUCCGCACCCAAAUAUACUCCCCAUUUGGAGUCUUCUCGAGGUAAACUUUUGGGUCUUUCACCCUAGGGAUCUCUCUCCCUUCUUAGUUCGCCUCACACGGGCUUUCACUUUUCAUCACUAUUUUAUUUUUUUUUCCAUUUCAUACACUUUUCACAAAUUUUUUUUUCUUCAUACAACCAUGAUGCAAAUGAAUGCUACAAACUCCAAAAUUCCUCAAAAAUUUCAACAAUUCCAACAUUUUCAAUAACCCAAUAAAAUAAAAUUUUCACAUUAAAAUUCCCGAAAAUAUACCAACGAAUUUUCGGAAAUUCACACAUCAAUAUACUUGAAUUUAUGUCACAAUUUCAGAAUUUUUCAAUAAUUCUAAUAAUUCCUAAUAUUUGAGAAUAACUAAUUUUUCACAAUAAAAUUACCGCAAAUAUUCCAAUCAAUUUUCAAAAAUUCAUAAGUCACUAGAUUUGAAAUCUUACCCUAAUUCCGGAAUUUUCCUACAUUUCUAGCAAUUUUUAACAACCUAAAAUAAUUAUUUAUUAAUUACAAAGAAUUCCGGAAAUUACAAAAAAAAUCCAGAAAAAAUCCCAAAUCAUUCCAGAAAAUUCACACAACAUCAAAAUUACCUAAUUAACUCAUAAUUAUCAGAUUUAUAAUUUUUUUCCAAUGAAAAAUACAUUAAAUUUGAGUUUUAGGGUUAGUUUUCCCCUACCUCAUAUAUGAAAAUUUGGCCAUUAAAAACAAAAUUAGCCACCGUAGACUUGUUCCUCUAGUCGAAUAGAGCACUUCCUCCGAAUUUGGGCCGAAACGGAGGUCGCUUGGCCGUCCAAACGGCCGGUCAAAGAUCCGGAGAGUGACCAAAUUUUCUGCAGUACUCUCUCUCUCUCUCUCUCCCCGCGUGCUACCAGUUUUCCAAUUCUCCCCCUUUUCCUUUUUUUUUUUUUUAACAACAAAGGCUUCCUACCACCAGCCCAUAUCUAAGCCCAAUCCAUUUCAUAUCUUUUUUUUUUUUUUUAAGACAUCACCCACUUAAGCCCAAAACCAAAAGCCCAACUCCAUUAUUAUUAUUAUUAUUUUCUUUUACAACCCAUUACCUUAAACGGCCAAUAUUCAAAGCCCAAUGAAUAUUUUUAUUUUAUUUCUUUUCUUUUCUUUUCUUUUCUUUAUUCUAAUUGUUUUAUUGGAUUUCCAAUUCAGUUUUUUUUUUCAUUUUUUUUAACACACAAUUUAUUUAUUAACAUCAAUCUAAAACUAAUUUUUCUCAAUUUUAUUAUUCAUCAAUUUAAUUUAAUUUUUCUUAAUUAAUUCUAAUUAAUUUUUUUUAAUUAAUUCAUUUUUUUUAAAAUUUUUCGGAAAAUUUCAAUUUCUAAAAUCCUAAGAAAUUUUCUACUCUAAGGCUGACAUGGCAUAAAAUUUCAACUCGUUUAAUUGACCGACACAAUAAAACGAAAUUCACCAAUCCGAAAUUAACACGUGUUCUCCAAACACUUUUCUUUUUGACUUUUCAACCAUCACACAAAAUAAGACUUUUCAAACUAAAAAUGCUAACGUGGCAUAAAAUACCCGGUCAUUACAAAAUACCUAUUGAAAGUACAAGAAUCACUCAGACAGCUGAGAGAGUGGGUCAUUAAGAAAGUCCCAAGGGGAGAAAAUGUGCAAGCCGACGCUUUAGCGGGUAUAGCCUCAUCAUUUCCUGUGAAAGAAUCAACGAUGCUACCCGUAUACGUUCAAGUCACUCCCUCCAUCGCUGAGUCACACGUUUGCAAUGUGGGCCCAAAAGAAAACGACUGGGCGGUUGACAUCAGAGCCUAUUUACAAGCGGGGGCAUUGCCUGAAGAUCCCAAGCUCGCCCACAAAAUUUGGGUGCAAGCGUUCCGCUUUACCCUAAUCGGAGGUGAUCUCUACAGGCGAUCCUUCGGAGGUCCGUACCUCAGAUGCUUGAUCCAGCCGGAAAUCCAAUAUGUUCUAUCCGAACUUCAUGAAGGCGUUUGCGGCAACCACUCAGGGGGCAGAACCCUGGCACACCGGGCGCAUUCACAAGGAUAUUAUUGGCCUACAAUGAGGCAGGACGCAGAGAUCUAUGUCAGGAAAUGCGACAAAUGUCAAAAACACGCGCCAUCCCACAUAUGCCCGCUGAGACAUUAAACUCAAUGACAAGCCCCUGGCCCUUCGUGCAAUGGGGGAGGGACAUCGUGGGACCCUUACCCACUGCAGCCGCUCAGAAGAAGUUCCUACUCGUUGCCACCGAUUAUUUCAGCAAGUGGGUGGAAGUUGAAGCCUACACAAGCAUCAAGGACAAGGACGUCACAAGGUUCGUCUGGAAAAAUAUAGUAUGUCGAUUCGGAAUCCUUCAGGCGAUCAUGGCCGAUAACGGCCCUCAGUUUGAUAGCUCUGCCUUUAAAGAUUUCUACGCGGAACUUCACAUCAAAAAUCUGUAUUCCACGCCGCAGUACCCUCAGAGCAACGGUCAAGCGGAAGCAACCAAUAAAACCUUACUGAGUGCGUUGAAAAAACGAUUGGAAAAAGCCAAAGGAAAGUGGGUAGAAGAGCUGCCCGACGUCUUAUGGGCUUAUCGAACUACACCCGGAAGGCCGACAGGGAAUACCCCAUUCGCUCUCACAUACGGAACAGAUGCCGUCAUCCCAACUGAAGUAGAUAUGCCCACAGCCCGGACUGCCGUCCAAGGUAAAAGAAAUGAAGAUGAAAAGCUUGCAAAGCACUUGGAUUGGACGGAUGAGACUAGAGAGGCAGCAUCCAUCCGGAUGGCCGCAUAUCAACAAAAGGUGGCUGCAUAUUAUAACAGGAGGGUGCGACCUCGGAUUUUCAAGGAGGGGUCAUUGGUACUUAGAAAAGUUUUUGAAAACACGGCUGACGAAGGAGCCGGAAAAUUUCAAGCCAAUUGGGAAGGUCCUUAUGUGGUGUCAAAAGCCAACGAAAAUGGGUCGUACCAUUUACAAACCUUAAAUGGAACCCCUCUACUCCGCCCUUGGAAUGAAAGAGAAAUUUUGUAAAGGUAACAUUUUUAUCCCGUCUUUUCUGACUGUGCUAGACAGGCGAUAUAAAAGGGGGCAUUGUGGGAUCCUCCCUAAAAACUGCCGCGUGGCUCCCUCUCCCUUGCGACAUGUGGCACCGCCGACAUUCCACCCGGACAUCUCACAUCCGGAAUUCUUCUCCGCCGACAUUCCACCCGGAUGUCUCACCGCCGCAAUUCUAUCCGGCCAACGUUCUACCUUAUCCGGAUGUUUCACAGCCUCCAUUAUAUCCGGCCGACGUUCCACCUUCUCCGGAUGGGAGAGGAGGACGAUUCAACUUCCCCGGGCAGACAUGUUCGGAUCCUUUGGUGACACUUACUCGGACAGCUUGGCUCGUCAGAUACUCGUGAUUCGUCGGAUCCAUUUCCGCCCACAAUCAAAGAGAUAACUCUGACAAUACUGACGACCAAGUCUCCUGAACUAUCACUCACAUUUAAUGCAAGAUACAUUCGACAAGACAUUCCCAAGUCUUCUCAGGUCUCCUGAUACAUCCCCGAUAUUUAAAGUCAUAAAUUGAGGCGGAGGAUGCCACCUAAAUAUCCUCCUGACAACCGCAAUCUUGGACCAGAAACGUCAUGAUUGCUUCGCCACCCUAUGAGCCACAAUCAUGACGAUGAAACCCACUGGCACAGCGAGGCGAUAUUUUCUGACUCAUAUAUAAACUCUAAGAAGGCUCUCAGGGAGGUAAAAGAUAAGAAGAAAAAAAAAAAAGCAAUAAGCAAUAUAGCAUUCUGGAGGCCAUAAGCCAAAAAAGAUAAGCAACAAAGGAUAAACAUCCUACUGAGGGAUAAACAUCCUUGACAAAAAUCACGGAGCCACACUCCCAAAGGAAAACCUUAUUUUCCAAACAGCUUCCAAAAUACUAACUUAAUCAUCGGAAGGUGUGUCCGGACAACCCAUCCGGACAUCUUUUUUGCAGGAGGAAGAAGGAUUCACUGUAACGCGUUGAUCGAGAUCCCGUUGCUGGUGACGACUAUUGUAGCAGUGGAACUUUGCCAUCAACAAUCACUACUAAAAAGAUUGAUUAAAAUAAGAGAAUUAUUAGAAAUUGUAAAAAAGGAUAACAAAAUUUGUAUACCUCAAUUUGAGAAUGCUUCACCCUCCCCCUAAAGCCAUUUAGAUGAAUAUUAUUCAAUAUAAUGCAGUAGUGUACUCUCAAGCAUGCUAAAAUGUAAGGAUCGAACAAAAAAAACAGAGUAUAAUAAUACUCAAAGUACUUUCUGAAUCAAAAAAUAACUCAUCAGGGUUUGAGAAUUCUUAUUACCUUUACAGAUUGGCAAAUCAUAAGGCCUUUGCAAACCGAAGGUACUAGAAGACUUACUAGGUUUUUUUAAGAGGCGUGAUGAGCUUGGAAAGCUAACCACUGAUGUACAAUACUAAGCUUAAGCAAGAGAGAAACUAUUAUUGACAUGAAAUUGAGAAAUGGUAAAUUAUCAGCUUUAGCACUAGAAUUUAUCUUUUGAUUGAUCAUGAGAAUUAAUAAAGUUUAGGACAAUCUUUUUUGUGAUUAAAUUGUAACACAAGAAAAUCUAGAUGUAGACACAUUCAUGAUUUUACUUAAUUGGCUAACAAAACCUCAAGGUCCUCUCCAAAUUAAAAGAAUUCAAUUUUUAUUGAUGUCUUAUUUUUGUAAAUGCAUUCAAACAUAGUGGUAUGGUUUUAACUUUUAUUCACUUUAUUUAAAUAUUAUUUACAUAUUGGGUAAUUAAUUAAUGCUUUUUCAUAAUAACAUGAUUAACCCUAUGGACAUAGAAGAAAAGAAGUUAUAAUAUAUAUAUAUGUAUAUAUCAAUUUUAUAAAAAUUUGCAUAAUGAGUAUAUUACAAAUAAUCAAGAAUAUUUUGAAUCACACUUGAAAUCAUAUUUAAUUCAUACUUAAAUCAUGUCUAAAAAAUUUGAAAUAUGUAUAUAAACAAACAAACAUAUAUACAUCUAUUAUUGUUAACUUGUGAAUGAGAAAUGGAUUCAAAAAAGUAUAAAUUUAGCAAAAUCAAUACCAUAAUUUUAUCUUCAACUCAUUGCAUUGGGUCAAGAUGAAUUCCUCUACUAAAACAUUUGAAAGGAAAAUUUUGCAGUUGAGAUGUUCGUCUUCUCUUGAAUUUGAUAGUUUAUUCUUAAGUUAAGAUUCCUCCUUCCCUUUAUAAAAUUAAGUGGAGUGUGACUAUAAAUUGAUUAAGAGUUUAAUCAAAAUUGAAAAUUUACUUGAAACAUCUUACUUGCCUCAAUGCAUAAGGAUGCAUGCGUGACCAAUUGAGUUUGGGCCUUCAAGUCAUUUGAGCUGUUCACCUUCAAUUGCUUGAGCUUGAUAUAUUCCUUCUAGACAUCAACUAUACCCACGACUAAUGCAUUACAUUAUUUAAUUUUCUGUUUUAAAUUGGUUUAAUAGAAUAACUAAUGCUUUAGAAAUGAUAACUUUUAAACUAAAAAAAAUCAAUCCAAACAACUUUGGUUCAUGAAAUCAAUAUCAUAAUUUAAUUUUUAACUCAUUUGGAACACCUAAGAACCUAGAACAACCUCUCAAAAUAUUCUAAAGCAAAAUAUUUGAAAUUGAAAUGUUCUUCCCCGCCUAAUUUGAUUACUCAUUCUUACUUUGAGACUCUUAUCUCCUUUUGAGACCAAGAAAUAUAGAGUACAAAAUUGAAUAAAAUGCGAGUUCAAAUAGGUAAGACUUUAAUCACAAUUCAAAAUUGACUUGAAAUAUUUUAUUUAGUUAGAACUUCCAUGACUUAACCAUUCAAGUUCAAGGCUAAUGUGUAAUUUCCUCUAUAACUUAUUUAACUCAAUGUUUAGUAUUUUGAAAUUAACAAUGCAAUCAAGCUGAACCUAAAAAUACCCAAAAACAAGUCCUAAUAGAUGUGAUUUUUUUUAAUAAAACAAAAUUCGGAUUUUAGACUUAAUGGAGGCCUUGGACUUUCAAAAUAGGGUAGCUAGGAAAAAAAAUAAGAGAAGAAAAAGUAAUGAAAAUCAUUGGAAAGAAUUUAAGCCCGUUAAAUCACUUAGCAAGAGCUUACCAAAAGAGAGGUGGCUUACCAAAAGCUUGAGAUGAAUGUUUAGCAUCUUCUACAGCAUAUCCAUUGAACAAAUUUGCAAAUUAAGAAGCUCCAUUCACUUGUGCAUUUGGUCCUCUUCAUCAUCUUGGGCAUCAACAACAUUAUCAUUAAUAUUUUGUGUUAUUGUAUCCAUUGGAGAAUGGUUGUUGCCCAUACAUUGUAUGUCGUCACAGCUUCUCUGUGCAUUAACAUCAGCAUCAAGUACUGAUUUGGUGCCACAGCUUCUCUGCACAUCAAGGUACCGUGUCUUUGCUGCAUGCUGCAUGAUUGUACUUGAUGCCUUUUAUAUUGGUAUCGUGGGAGGUGGCAAAACAAACUGCCUCUCCAAGGAGGUAUCCUCUGACAUUAUGAAAGAAAGAGAGGGUGAUGGAGAAAUCUUCCCAUAAAGACAAAUGUAGUGUAUAGUUGUGCAAGCUUUAACAGAAUCUUCUGGUCUCGCAGCCCAACAUUGAUCUUCAACCAAUUGGCGAUCUCAACAAGCCUUGAAAACUUACCCAUCAUCUUUCACAUGCUCUCCUGAUAGAUUGGCUGCCUCUGUCAAUGCACCCCUCCACCUUUGCACCAUCUCUUUCUUCUCUUUUGUAUCUUCUUUAUAAUUCUUAAAGGCUUCUCCAAAACUUCCUGUUUGCUUUCGUACAUGGGAUGGACCAACAUGGUAGAAAAUUGAGAGGACGAUUUGUCCCAUUUCUUUCCUGCACUCCAUGAUCUUAACAAGCUCAUUUAAACACCAUCUUGAAUCAGCAUAGUUUUUAGAGAAAACGAUUACGGAAAACCUUGAUCUUUCAAUGACUUUGAAGAGUUCUGACCCAAUCUCUUCUCCUCUCUUAAGUUUAUCAUCUCUGAAGGUGCGAUUGCCUCUCUUAAGCAAAGCUUGGUAGAGGUGAUCAGUGAAAUUAUAGCGGGUGUCUUCGCCUCCAAAACUCAAGAAAACAUCAUAGUUCUUUUGAGGGAUGGAAUUAGUAGUAGUCGUAGCAGAGGAAGAAGAAGAAGAUGAAGAUGAAGAUGAUGAUGAAAAGGGUAUUAGAAAACUUAGGAACGCAAUUAUGGAAGCUAUUAGGGAAUUUAUGAAAGGCAUGGUUGGUUUUUGUUUCAAAAUCACAAGAGGGUGUGAGGCUUGAUUUCUCUUGUGACUUGAG